AUUUUUUUUUUUUUUUUUUUUUUUGAGAGAUAGAUAGCACGCUACCCGCUUCGUUUAUUUCAUUUAGAAAUAAACUUAGUUGAAAAUGUGAAUCAACUAGAAUUCGAACUUGGAUCUCGAAUACCAACCACCAAGUCCUUUGCCACUUGCUCUAAGAACGGCCGGUGAAUUACACGCAAAAUUGGUGGGUCAAUUCCACGCAAAAUUGAUCUCGUCACUAGGAAACAUUCUCAAUUUGAGUUUUCCCCCUCUAUGUUCUAGCUCUGCAUUUGCAAUAACAACAAUCCUCAACAAACUUAAAUUCAUAUCUAAACAAAGUUUAAAUUCGUUGUUCAAAUUUGCACAGGCGAUUCCUAAAGAAGCAAGAGAAUUUGGCCUUGGAGAAACCAAGUACUACAUGGUGCUCAUCUGGGAUGCCUUAUUCUGGCAAGCAGUUAACAUGGGCAUGGUAGGCGUCAUCUGCUGCGCAUCGUCGCUGCUCGCGGGGAUCAUGAUCGCGAUCCUUCUCCCGCUGUCGGAAAUCCUUGCAGUCAUGUUCCUCGGCGAGAAGUUCGACGGUAGCAAGGGCGUCGCCCUCGCCCUCUCCCUCUGGGGAUUUAUUUCUUACUUGUACGGCGAGAAGCGGCAGGGCGAAAAGAAAAGGCAAGCUGCGGAGGUGGAGUUGCCGGCGCCGUGAAGGCAUUACUUGCUGUUCGGAUAAAGGAAGCCAUCAAUAUCCUUUUUCCACCUGAAUUUAAGUUCUGUUUCGACAAAUUUGAAACUAUUCAAUUUCUAAGGCAUUCGAUUUACUGCAUGCGAAGAAUCUAUGAGAAACGCAUGAAUUCAAAUAUGUACAGUUGGAAGCUUAAUUUGCUGCAACACUUCUCCCCCUUCCAACAUGUACAAUUUGUUCUAAAAUCAAAUUUGGUUGGAAUCAAAUUGGAUUUAACGGGAUUCUACAUCAUUAAAUAAUCUGAAAAAAUUAUGGUAUGAAAAAUUAUCCAUUGAUAAGGUCUGAGCUAGUAAAUUCUCGCGGAGUAUUUUUAUUGUUCAUAUAAUAUUGUUCGUAUGUUCGAACUAAAUAAUAACAAAUAUUUUUAACUUAGUUCAUUUGCGUACUGUAAUACAUUACAAAAGUUUUGUUAAAAUCCAAAGAAAAAAAAAAAUAGCUUGAGAAUUUUAAUUAAUUAAUUCAUACACAACAAGGUACGUGAUUUUAGUGUCACGGCAAAAUCAGAUGUUGGAAAUCGUGUCUGAGGCCCGAAGUAUCCGUGGCCUUUAAAGGAAGUCAACGCCACGUCAUAUCCGACGUUUCCCGUUACGGGGACGAAGCUCAGUUCCCAAAAAAAAAGAAAAAAAGAAAAACUACGCUGCUUCUCGAAGAAGCUUACUGGAACCCCUUAUGCACCGCACCUGAUUUUUGUUAUUAAUUAAUUUUUAAAUUAAAUAUUAAUCCAAUAAUUAUGGUCUUAAUCACCGAAAGGGACGACAUAUAAAAUAUUGUAAUGUUCAAAACCUAAUGCCAAAAUAUCAGGUAGACUUAAAAUAUAUAGUAGAAAAAUGAUUUAUUUGAUUUGUGAAAGAUAGGUGUCUAGAGUUUUUGAUUUUUACAUAUAGAUUUUUAAAUAUUAUAGAACAUACUUAAGAAAUUAUGAUUUCAGAGUACAAACAGAAUAUUUUGAAAGUUAAAGGGAUCAUUUAUGUUAGUAUUAUUUAUGAUAAUAGGAUAUCCAAAUCGCUAAUCAACAUUAUCAAAUUUAAUCUAAAAUAUUUGAAUAAUCUAAAUUACAAAUUUCACAAAAAUUUAACAUUAUUCUAAUAUUCAUGUGUCAUAAAAUUGACUUAUUUUUAAUGGCUAAUUUAUGAUAAAAUUUGAGACAAUUUAAUCACUUAAAAAAUAAUGUUAAAAAUUAAUAAUAUUUGAGCUCUAGAAAUUUAAAUAGUCUAGAAUUAAUUUGUUAAAAGACCCCAAUCAUCAAUUCGAAUAUCCUACCAUGGAAAAUAAUACGAAAAUAAAUAUUUUCAUUUAAUUACUUGUAGAAAUAUUCUACCCCUACGAAUGAGUUUGAGAGCUCUAUCAUGGAGUUUUUGAGACCGUGGUGUAUGAGAUGUUUUUGUACACCCGGUUCAUGCAAACAUUUCGUACAAUCCGAGCUUAGAUGUUGUUUGACUUUUUUCUCCAAUAGAAACGAAACGUUAUAAUUAAUCUGUUGACUUGCACAUUAAUUAUUUCUCUUUCAAUCUUCAACGUAAGUGCAUGGAUUCUUUUUGCGAACUUUGCCGUGCGAGUUUAAAAUUUUUUGAAGUGAAUUUUAAUCUCUUACUAUUGGUUAUUAGACUUUUGCUGUUUCUUUACUUGAUUCCGAAAUAAAAGAAUUAAUUAAUUUUCUCUUACAAAAUGGGUGUCAAAUUAUUUUUUAUCAGUCAAGAACUGUACGUAAAAUAUUAUAUGGAUCACGUUCUAAUUUAUUUACUAUUUCUGCUCGUUGUUCAAUUGGAUUUAAUAAAUCUUAAUAUGUUAUAAUUAAGAACCAUUUCUUUAAGCUGAGGAGCCGUUGAUAGGAUAUAUAUAUAUAUAUAUAUAUAUAUAUAUAUAUGUAAUUAGUGUUGAAGAAUUUGAAGCGCGUAAAGCUCAAAUGCUUUACAUGAUAAGUACAUGAGCUUAAAAAAAUUGCUAAUUCCACUAUUUUUUUAAUUUACUUAAUAGGUUUUGGAAUUAAGGAUAUAUUAAUUUGAUUCUUCAUAUGUUAGUGCUUAUAGGCUUUCAUUGUACGUGCUACGUUGCAAUCGCAGUUCAAUUACUUGUUGAUAAUAGUCGGUUUGAAAAGGUAAGAUAAUUUCAAUUGUCAAAUAUAAAAACAUGAAAAUAUUAUUUUCUCGUAGCUUAUAUUUUUUAGAGUAAUUCAUGCAUCGUUUCGCAAGUAUAAAUCUAGCUUCCAAUAGAUUUUGAAAUAUUGGUCCAAAAAAACUAAGACAAUAACUUAUCGACCAAUAAAUGUAAACUGCGUGCGCUCCAUCUCCAUGUGCACAAACUGGUUAAUUACACUUGUUCAAGUUAUUUAAAAUCAAUUACUUAAUUUUCCAGCUAAGUCAAAUUAAUUGAAAUACAGAUAAGAAAAUUCUUGUCGUAUUUUGGACAUUGCGUACAUUGCAUGUGCCUUAUAAGUGAUUACGCUACUUUAUAUAUGAUAACAUGAUAAUGAUGCGUGUGAUCUUUUGAUUCGAAAUGUAGCGAAAAGGAGCAUAUUGAUUCCCUUCCUACUCAAGAUUCAAAUUUCACGUGCACGUACCAGCUCCAAGCGAGUUUUAGUCAUCGCAUGCACGUGAGAUCCUUCUCCUGUAAUUUUCUUUUUUAAGAAAAACUUUAAAUAUUGUUUUAGUUUAAUGAAUUUAUAUUUUACUCUCUAACCACUUUAUUUGCUUCGUCUUUUUGUAAUAAUUUAGAAAUUCUUUCGUCAACCUUAGAUUAGAAAUGAUACGCAAUAUAUAAAGCGAUAAUAAAGCGUAAUAAGUAAAACCUACAAAAUAUAUAAUUUAAAAAAUUCUUUCGUCAAUGUUUUAUUACUCUAGCUGUGAUUCUACCGACAAUAAAGCGUAAUAAGUAAUUAAAACCUACAAAAUAUUAUAAUACAAAUAAGUUAACAAAAAUCGAUAAUAUAGGCCGUAAAAAAUUUGAUAGUUGAUAUCCGAAGUUUCAAAUUCUGAAAUUUAAUUAUUUUAUAUAUAUUCAGCAUUAAGUUUAUGUUUUUAAACGGCAUAAGAUUACUUCCGAAGAAAAAAAAAAAAGAAAGGGAAAGGAAGAGAAAAAGUUGGAAUGGAUCCUUUGGGAUCAACUCCAUCUGUUUCCAUUAAUAUUCCAAUCUCUAAUUAAAUGGUGCCCACUGAUCCAAUCUGGGGGAAGGCACAUCCACAACAACAACAACAACAACAACAACAACAACUACGUACUACUACUACUCCCAUGGGCAUUUCAACUGCAACUAAUCCCCACCAUUUUACCACAAAACUCCCCCAGUACGCCAAAAGGAGAAGCUUCUCCUCCACCUCUUCCUCUUCUAGCCACUCAGCCCCUAAGCGCUUCCUCCUUGCCCUUGUCACCUUCCUCGCCCUCCUCCAUAUCCAAACCCUAACCCACACCCUCAACAACCACCUCAAGCUCCCCCUCUCCUCUUCAUGGCCCCUCGCCUUGUCUCUCCUCCCCGCGGCCGCGCCGUCCGACAUCGCCUUCCUCCCGUUGAAGGACCUCCGCUUCUCCAACACCCCCAUGGACGGUGAGCUUUUUCUUCUGAACAACAGUUAUUUCACAUGCAUAUAUGGUAUUGCUAUGUCUUAUUUACUGUUAGAGAAUAACGAUUGUUUCGCAGGUAACACAUGGUUCAUGAGCUCCCUUAACGACACUUAUGAGCCCGGCGAAACCGAACACCUCCGCUUCCCUUCCGACGCCUCCGGAGGCCGCCUGUUGUGCCUUGCAGGCAGCAGCGCGUCGGACGGCACGCGGAACGCGUACGCACUGGCGCCGCCGCAUGGUCUGCGUGGCGUGCGGUUGCUUCGCGGGCUCACGUUCGUAUCAGACACAUACUACGACUACGAGAACCUAUGGCACGGGCUGUCGGCGGUGGUGCCGUUCGCGGCAUGGCACGCGCGCAACGGGUGCGUGCGGCCCGCACGGUGGGUGCUGUACCACCAGGGGGAGCUGCGGACGGGGAUGGGCCCGUGGGUGCGGAAGGUGGCAGAGACAGUGUUCGGGACGGCGAUGCAGAUGGAAACGUUCGAGGGGGGUCAGCCCAGGUGCUUCGAGGAGGCAGUGGUGUUCCGGCACAACGAGGGGUCGAUGACGAAGGAGAAGAAGAAGAGGGUGUACGACAUGUUGCGGUGCAAAGCGAGGGCGUAUUGUAAUGUGAGUAGAGAGGCAGAGAAGGAAUCGAACGAGUUAGAGAAGGUCGUAAUAAGAGUGACGUUGCUGUUGAGGGUGGGGGCGAGGUCGUUUAAGGAUGAUAAGGGGGUGAUAAGCGUGUUCGAGAGGGAGUGUAAGAAGGUGGAGGGGUGUCGCCUCACGGUGGCGAGACCCAACAAUUUGACCUUCUGUGAUCAGGUAAUUGGUGGCUCAUAUAUCCGCCCUUUCCUUUCCUCCUUUUGCUUUGUUGAAUUCGAUUAUUUACUGAAUCCGAUCGAAUUCAAUCAAUGUAUAUAAUCUGCACUCAAUAACAAUGGCUUAUGGAGAAAAAGAAAAAAAAAAAAAGAAAAAAAAACACAUGAUAACAUCAAAAAAUUAAUAAUCCACAAAAAUAAUUGACCGCACCGGUGGUCCAUUGGCAGGUUAAACUAAUGAGCGAAACGGACAUCCUGGCGUCGCCGCACGGGGCGCAGCUCACGAACAUGUUCUUCAUGGACAGGAACAGCAGCGUCAUGGAGUUCUUCCCUACAGGGUGGCUCAAGCUCGCAGGCCCCGGCCAAAAUGUCUUCCAGUGGCUCGCCAGCUACUCCGGGAUGCAGCACCGAGGGGCCUGGCACGACCCCAACGGCGACCGCUGCCCCUACGCUAACGCCACUGCCCGCUGCAUGAGCUUCCACAAGAACCGCCGCAUCGGGCACAACACGGCGUUCCUCGCCAAUUGGACGUCGACGGUGCUCCGCGAGGAGCACCGUCGCAUGGCGGCCGUCGACCAGGCCAAGCUCAAAGCGAGCCAAGGGCCUUGUCAAUGUGACUAGCUAGCUGAGUUAGCCGACACGGCCGACCUGGGGGCUGGGGAACUAGAGAGCGGAAUUGUAAGAAUUGAAACGUAUAGAGAGAUGUGUCAACAAUAAAGACCUGAACAUAGCUCAGGUCGUACAACGGCCAAAGUCACAAAAGGCAACACAAAAGCGUGUAUAUAACAUGCUGCUUUUAUAGUAAGAGAACCAUUUUAAAAAUUUCUUUUACAAGUUCGAGACACAAAGUUCCCCAAAACAGAAUGCAAUAUACUGCGAAAGUUUCCACAUUCUCAAAUUGAAUUGUAUUCAAUGUGUGCGCCUCACUCAAGGAAUUCGGCCAAACAUCGCUUUUCCAUUUCUUUAGUAUAUUAUCUCAAACUAGUGUGCAGGAAAUCACCUUAUAUGUCUUCUGGUCAAAAUAAACAAAAAGAAAAAAAUAUAACUUUUAUCGCCUCGUUAUCAUUAUUUUCUAUUAUAAAUACUUUUCAGAGUCUAAUAUAUAAUGGCUGCUAGACAUAAAUGUGUUGUCUCUAAUGUUAACUCAUAUAUUUAAACUUAAAAACAGUACCAAGGAGUCGCUAAAUGCUGCUAACAUGUCUACGAACACGAGGCGAAGCUUGGAUUAUUGAGGUUGUCCAUGUACGAUUGAAAUCAGUUUCCGCUAUUCUUGUGAAAACCAAGUUCUAGUAAUUCGCACAAGCCUAGAGAGAUUAACAAAAACUGUUCAUACCCCAAAACUGAAUUAAUUGCGGAGCUAAAGUUGUACAGCCCAGCAGAAAAAAAUAAUAAUAAAAAACUUCUAAGUAUAAGCACAUUUGGAAGCAAUAUAAGACUUUUAAUGAAGCAGUAUGAGAUUUGAGCAACUUCCACAUAUUAUAUGUUGGAUUAUAUAAUUCCUACUCUUCAGGUUACUACUGUUCCAAGUGAGAUAGGGAUUUAAGGACAUUACUCCUACCAUUUUACCUGCCUACCCCACGUGGGACAAAAUUCACAAAAUUUCAGAGUUAUUUAUGAACCCUAUCUUAGCAUUAGCAAUGCACUUGUAAAAGAGGAAUACUUCUUAGUUACUCAAGCCGCACUGGUGAAACUUAGUGCCGACCGCUUUGAACUUUUUGUCUCUUCAUGUGCUAUGAAAUUUGGACCAGAGAUAGACCGCAAAGAAGCAGAGCAGAGCAAAGAGGGCAACAUGGACUACUACAUGGUUCGAGCCCUGUUGUAUGAUUCUCCGGUUCAUUUUCCUUAUGUUGUUCUUCAACCCCGCCUGGGCUUUUAUGAGAGUCAUUUGCUGUACAGUAACCAAAAUUGCAUCACACAAAGCUUGAGGCAUGGAUGUAAAGAAAUAAUUAACGGACCGCCCCAUCUACAAGUCGUUUAAUUAGUAGGACUUGACUUAGGUGCGCAUGGGCUCAUGUGAGUACAGACUACAGAAUGAUACCAUACAAAGGAUUUUGACUGAUGAAAUCUGUUACCACAGGCCAGUUGAACAUGGGUCAAAAGAGAAUCAUACAGUAGUAAGAAAUAAUUAGAUUUACAAAUGUCUACAACUGACAUAAGUCGGAGGACUAUCAAGCUAUAUGGAAACAGAAAUCGAAAUGGAAGGGAAACGGAAAGAGCAAAGAGUAGUGACUGCAAUGAACAUAGGCCAUGUGAUAUAGGCAUAGCGCAUUAUCAAAUUGUCGCUAUAUGGUUGCAUUUGUACUUCUUAAGUGACCUGUUUCUUAAGGAUCUUUGGUUUACCCCCAUUGUAAUUUGGGUUUAAAUCAGGUUUCGAUCCACACUAAAACGUUUGAUCAUGAUUUCAUGAUCGACUACAGUUUCGAAUCCAUCUCUACAUGAAAACCUGUAUCUAUUUGAAAACUCAAUCUAAAACCUUUUAAAAUUGUAACUUCAGGUAGAAAACCUAAGAAGCCAUUAGAAAUUUAGGUAUGUAUGCAGUACGCGUGCUAAUUUAACGAAAUUUGUGAAAGGUGCAUAUUAAAAACACAAAUAGUGGCCUCAGGGCAUCUAAUUAAGUGAUACAAAUGAUACCACAGGGCCUCAAUGACCAAGAGCCCACAAGGCCAAGCUUGUUUUGAGAGAUCUAUUACCAACGAGGCCUUUGAGUGCAACGGGUUCGGGCUGGACAGGACCAUGACACCGAAUGCCAUAAUUCACCUAUGGGCCUAUUAUCAAAUGGGUGUCUAAAAUUAUGAAGCUACUGAAGGGCAAAAGCGUCAUUUAGAUAAAACAAUCAUCAACUUCUUUUUUUAUGUGCAGCUUGCUGAUGGUAGUCAAAUCGCAAAUGGAAGGGAUAAACUUUCAAAAUAUAGGAGGACAUAUAUGAUCAAUAAACAAGUAUGCAAAAUUACUAUUUUGCAAGUACACAUGUGGCUGGCACGUGCGUGAGCGCGCGUGCACAAACACACGCACAGAUACAGAUAAUGGUGCAAAUUAUGGAACUAACCAAUUUAGAUAUGAAGUCCUUUUGAAACUGGGCUUCUGUUUCUAUCUCCUGAGCUACCUGCAAAAUGUCAUAUUGAAUUCUUGUAAAAUAUGUGCAUAAAAAAUUCUAACUUGAUGAGAAUUCUUAACAACUGAAAGUAGACAAUUUAGAUAGUGCAUCAAAUAAACAUAGUAGAUUUAGAAACUAAUAAAAAAGCAUACAAACAUACUACAAAGUGACCAAAAAAAUGGUUGAGAUUAACUUUUCUGUAGAGCACAUAUCAUGUAGCAUUAAGACAACAUUUUCCUCACACUUGCAUGAUUGAUGAGAAGUCAGGUCCAUAGCGCUAUCUUAAGACAAUUGCCUACAGUUAAAUAAACAUUUUGACUAUAAUAUAGAUGAAGCAAUGUUAAAAUGAAGAAUAUAAGGAAAGAAGCUGUGCCAAAUUACUCUUUCUUAUUCCUUCCAUUAAUCUAUACACUGAAAAAUAAUUAAAACCAGGCCGUUCACAUAAAAAUGCUAAUAGAUUUUUUAAAUGCGUUAAGUGUUAAUAAUACAGCAUCUACCAACAUUCAACAAACAAAGGUUUUGUAUCCCCAAUGACAAGGCUUCUCUGUUUAGCAUUAAUCUGCUCAAUGAAAGAAGUAAUAAAAAGAUAACUUUGUUGUGCAUCAUACAUUAUUCAUUCGGAAUCGAUGAAUUUAGGUUUGGGGUAAUCAUUGUUUCAUCAGCUUAAAUUUUUUAACUAUAUACUGCACUCAACGUGCAUUCCCUAUAAAAGUAACUUUACUACAAGUAAGCAAUAUACUCAUCAUUUUCCUGCCUCUUCUAGGUAUUGCUAUUUACUAGGAUACUUUGAAACCUAGGGCAAUCCCAUCCCCAAAAUUUCAUCGAAAGGAAUCAAUUGAGAAAGAGACGAAGACCCACCCCUUUCAAUCUCCGGAUCUGGCCACGGAGCCCGGUGAUACUCUCGUCCAAGUCGCCGUGCAUCGGAUCGAUCUGCAGCUGUAUCUCUUCCGAUCUCUCCGGCGCCGCCGUGGACCUAGCGAUGAGCCCUUCCCUGCAACAGCGAAAUCGAUAGGGAAAUAGGAGAAAUUGUGGAAAUUUGAAACCAUACUAGGACACGGAGAUCGCGAGAGAGAGAGUUCGGCCAUUGCAGGGGACAAGAGAUGUACCUGGAUCGAAGAGUAUGGGAGCCGUGGAAGGGAUUCGCCAUGGGAAGAGGAGGAGGAGGAGGUGGUGGUUAGGGAGGAGCACGGAGAAGACGAGCACGAAAUUUGAAGCGGCAAAAAUGGAAGGGAAAAGGGAGCGGGAGUGAGGGGAGGCGACUCCGCGAAAGAAUCGUAGGGCCGAACCGGCCGGUUCGCCAGUGGACCGGAAUCGCAAAAAGAGAUGGACCGAAUAAGCAUUGUAAAUGGGUUGCGUUGGGUCGAUGGGCUAAAUUUGGGCCCAUGGACCAAAGCAAUUGGCCCAAAUAUAUAUAGCUUCUUUUUUUUUUUUUAGAAACUAUUUUCGGGAGCAGCGAAAAAAAAAAUACGAGCGAGUGAUAUAAGUAACAUUUGAGAAGCAUAAGAUGGCAUAAGAUGGACAUUUAUGUUACAUAACCAAAGCUGAUUCGCAUACAUAAACACAUUGAGCUAAAACGUGUGUGGCUCAAGCCAAAAGGAAGAGUAGGUGCACCCCAACCAAACAUGUUGGGGGGGUAAAUGCAACACAUCUCUUUCCUCUACCUUCUCCCUCUUUGCAUAUACUAGCUUCAACGUAAAGCACACUACCUUUAUUAUUCUGAUUACAUUCCCUGUAGUCACCAUAAAAAAAGAAGUUGUGGGCGUUAAAAGUUUGAACAGCCUAUGUAAAGAAAGCACUCAUACAGCCUUAUAUUAUUCUAUGUAGAACUUAAUCUUGUCCUUGUCACAGUAGGGCCCAUUCUGUUACAUCACACUUAUGUUUUUAAAUAGCUAAAAUGAACAACUCAAAUUGUGAGGUGUUGAGGAGACACAGAAUGUUGUAAACUGUUGCUCUAUGGAGCAGGAGCAGGAGCAGGAGCAGGAGCAGGAAAAAGGUUCAUUUCUCUUCCUCUUCUUCAAUCUUGUUCUUGUUUAUUUCAAUCUAAAAAUAAGCAAAAUUACAGGGUCCAAGGUUGAUGAACCACUUGAUCGUGUUCAAACAAGCUCCACAGUGCUCGAUUACAUGGUGCGCUCUCUCACAUACAUACUCAUUACGUCAUAUACCGGAUUAUACUAUACAAGCAAAUUUGCAUGUGACAUAUUAGCAAACUAGCACACAAAAUAACAUACAAGAGCAGUAUUAUGUACACACUGCUAUACAAUACUGCAAGACUAUGGCAUUAAUCCACAUUUCUUCUGAAUAAUAAUAACAAAGUUUGCUAUUUUUAUUGCUAUUUUUCUUAUGGCCUCGUUUGGAGCCUAGGAUUGAGAUAUUUAGGACUUUAUAUUGCUUUCCUUGAGCACCAAAUUUGAUCAAUCAAAAUACAACUUAGACAUCAAAGAUAUAUGGAAAUCCUCUUUGCUAAGUGCAGGGAGUGGCCAAUACAAAUGCAAUGACGGAGAACGAACAAAAGAUCCGGGAUGAGUUGGAGUCCGAAAUUGAGAGGGGUUUGGAAGAAGAGAUUAAAGAUGGCAUAUAUGGCCUCGCACUCCGCCUCCAAAGAUUGUAUCUGCACAAGCAGCAUAGGAAGAUGUCGGCAUCGUCAACUAGUUCUAAUAGGGAACCAUCGCACGGACCAAAAAGUGAACGUCUCUCCGAGCUGAAUAUCAUUAUUAGAUCAGAUGGCAAGAGCAAGAUUGAGACAUAUGAAGUCAAGCCCAGUUUUCACAACCUAGUUAGACCAUACAGUUCUCGAUCUAAAGCUAAGCAAGUAAAGUUGCGCAAUUGCAUCAGUCAAUUGGAUCAGUCGAAGUUACUUCGACCGCAAAAAGGAUUCAUAGGUGGCAGUAAAAUGAAUAGCUCUUUGGGGUUCGAACCUCAAGAGGAAUGGUUGGAUGCCUCUUGUCAAAAUGACAAACAGUUCGAGAGGAAAAAUAAGAAAAAGAUUGGCUCGGAAUGGAAAUAUUAGCAAACCUGGAGUAAUACUAAGUGAACGGAAUAAUAAAACUGCAAAACCAGGCUCUUCAGAGCACGUCCAGGAACCUUACCUUAUACUUGUAUUAAAGUUGUGUGAAUAAAUCUUGUUUGUGAAAUAUGAAGAAUAAAUAUGAAGAGAUUGAGAAUUGAAACACUAAACCACCAUGAUUUUUGUGAUGUUCCAUUUUACCAACUAGCCUGUAGCAAUAGCUAAAAUUAUUAUCGCACCAUAUAGUCUUCAACGAAUUGUCAAUACAUACAAUCUAAUGUAAAUUAAAAUACUCGGCUCCAAUAUUUUCUACCAAAAAAAAAAAAGCAAAACUGAAUAGAAAUAAUGGCAACCUUGUGUUUUCCUAUGGUUGUAAUGUAUACAUUCACAGCGGAAUCAAAAUACAUAGCACUCACACUAUUCUCUACCAGAAAUGUAGAUAGGAGCUAUCGCAUACUUAGCUUACGGCCAUUCUCCCAAUCAAACAGACCAUACCAAAUUUACAUCUCAGAAAAAAAACCAAAUGCAAUAUCAUUACAGAAUCAUGAUCCAAUAUAAAACAGAUAUUGAAGUAGAACAAAACUUUGAAUUUCUAUAUCUUACAGAGAUAUGAGAACUGAACUUCAAUCUAUUAACCUUAAUAGAUGGUGAUUCCAGAAGACAACUAGAGAAGCUAAUAAUUUUCAAUUAUAUCAAGUGCCUAAUGUAUGCUUUCAAUGAAACAUCAAUUUCUGUGAAGUGAAAAUGUUAAUUAACAAGAGCCACCUUUCACGAUAAAUGAAUAUUUCUAUAAUAGAAGCCACUUUUCAAGAUAAGAAUACAUGGACGGGAGUGAAAUCAAAGUGACAUAAACAUGUAAAUUUAUUCACAAGCAUGAUAAUAUAUAACAUCUCAAAUCAGAAGAAACAAUCAUUUAAAUAAAGAAAUGAUAAAAACACAAACACCUCCCUGUUUUUAAGUAUAUAAGAUAAACCAAAAAGUUCAAGCAUAAAUGAUAUUUUUAAUCUGAACAUGACCCUGUAUAUAAAGCAUAGACACCACCUGAACAAGUAAGAGCAGAUGUAUAUAGUCAUUGUUAGGGUUGCACAUUCUGACCGCCACCAACAGCCUCCUUCAGACUUUUCACGGCACUGUCAUAGUUCACGAAACCCAUGAACCAAAACUCAUGGUUGUCAAUAGAAACAACCUGAAUAUAUUUUUCUGCUGGAUUUGCUUGGCUUGUGGAAGGGUUAACAGAUCUCAGCUGCUGUAGAGGAAGCAACACCUGUUACAUUUCAAAAGAAAAACAUUGGUAUAAGCCCAUGUUUGUAUUCCGUAAGAAAAAGGUCAUGUUAACAAGUGCCUAUUAGGAGUUCAGUCAUAAAUAGUCAAACCAACUUCUAGAAGCAGCAUGACUAUUCUAGGCCUAUCCUUGUAGCCAAUACAGAACUAACUAGUCAACCUGACUCAGCAUUCGCCAAAAACUGGGGAACAUGCUAUAAAAUACUGGGAAUGCAUAUAAACAAUUCUUCCAUAGCAUGAUAAGUCCAGAAAACUGAACUACUAAAUACGAUAAAAAUUGUCAGAGAUAAAAAGAAUUUUGACCCAAAAAUAAAGAUCGCAUGAAGACCAAACACAACAACCCCGUAAAACCCCAGAAAACUGAACCACUAAUUUAAAACUGUAUAGACCUUACUCAGACUAUGGCGCAUUUUUUGAAAUAGGCAUCUGAGCUUCCAAAAGUUUUGCUUUUACUCCUAACUUAGAGCAUAUUAGAGCUCUAAAUUAGAGCAUACUCACUUUAGACACAUCACAGAAGAAGAUCAUGUGGCAGUCUCAAGAGAGAUGGUUGUGUUGAACAUCAGUGAAUAUACAUAAAGUUAAUGAAUAGAUGAACCUUGUAGUAGCUCCAUUCAGUUUUGUCCCCAACUUUAUACGAAAGUGGAUUGUCACUACAAAAUGCAAGCUUUGCGGUGGAAAGGUACAAAACUCCCAUAACAGGACCAGCGGAGGUCGAAAGAUAGCAUGCGUAUGCUUUCUUAAGUUUUUCGUCAGGAGCAGUGUCAAAUGUUUGUUGAAAUAUUUUAUCGUAACCACCUUCUGCUAUGACUUUUGUUGUUUGAGCAAUUCUACCCAUUGCUGCAUCCGCAACGCUAGGUCCUGUUUUCACUGUUUCAAGAAUGAUAGUUUAAUCAUGAUAGCAAAAACACGAACAAGCAUCAACACAUACAAAAUCUAUAAAAGAUUUGCUGAUAUGCAAUUGCAUACACAAAAUGAGAUGGAGUAUAUACUCUUUUAAAGAUUUAUCAGGAAAACAAAAAAAAAACUGGUUUUGUAACAAUAGCUUCCAAGAAAUAAGAAACUAGUAAAAGUUGUAUUUAGCAUAUAAAAAACCUACUGUACAUGAUUAAGAGACCAAAUAAUGGCCACAGUUGAGUAUCUUCUCUUGAAAUAUAUAAAAUGUGUAUGCACAAAGUUGGGCAAGUAUCAGAUCCACUAAUAUGCAAUUGAGUUGAUACAAGAGCCAAUACUCAAGCCAGUGGCUCUAUGUAAAUUCAACUUUUCCUCUGUUCAUCCCUUCAUUUCUUUGUUGUUGUAUUCUUCUAUCAUCUAUAGUUUUUAAGAAAGCGGAGGAGAAAACUAAGAAAAAACAAAAACAAAGAUCUACCGUCAAUUAGAGAUUUCACUACUGUGAAAGGGAUAAACCAGGGGCGGCAUUCACUGAUCUCAUUCAGGCACCCAAAAACUUAGAUGCAUGAGCAAAGAAUAAGCAUGUCCUGGAAGGAACUAAAGCUCAAAUUGAUAAAUAUUAAAAAAAAAAAAAUUUGAAACAUCUAUCUAUAUCUAUACAGUUGCAGCAUAAAUUUCCCAUCAAAAACCAAGCAUCCAGUUUCAAGUACGGGUUUUAUAUUGUUCCAUCAUGAUCAAUAAUGACACCACUCUCAGACUGAUCAAGGUCCCAUCAUAAGCAUUUUCGCAAGGAAAUAUAUUGCAUAUAAAAACUAUCCGUCAUUCAAAAGUCCAAGCUUUGAGCAAUCUACAACUAUCAAAUACUAAAUUAAAAUUUCUGAUAGUUUGCUAAGUACAGUAAAAACCACGCCACACCCUAAUAUACAAGCAUUAACCCAUAGAUCUCAUCAACAAGGACACAUCCACACACUUCUUCCAAAUUAAAUUCAAAAAUCAAAAUAAGUUGAUAAAAAGCGCACAAUUAAACCACAAAAUAUAGCUACUCACAGUGUUGCCAAACAUUCCCGGCCAAAUCCUCGGUCUUCUUCGCCGCGUCCCCGAACUUCUUCCCGAACUUCCCGAGCGCAUCGCGCACGGUAUCCAUCGUAUCUACAAAACCCCGAAUCAACCACAAAAACCAUCAAAUACUCCAUCACAACUCUAGUUACCAAUCACAAUCGAAUCAACGAACAGAGAGAGAGAGAGAGAGAGAGAGAGAGAUACUUUUGGAGGCGGGGCCGGGGGAGGCGGUGAUGUAGGGGUUGGGAUCCGCGGCCAUGGCGGAGGAGGAGGAGGAGGAGGAGGAGGGGGGAGGAGGAGGGGUGAGGUCCUCGGGGUUGAGCUUAGGGUAAGGGGCGUACUCGGGCGAGUGAUCGCCGUUGGAUCCCUUCUUCUCCGGGUGAUCGACGGUGGAUUGAUCCAUGGGAGGCGCCCGCGUCGGUGGCGUUCGAUGGAUCGGAGCGACUCCGAGAUCGAGCUCACAUAUAUAAUUAUUAUAUUAUGGGCAGGUGCUUCCUUACGAAGGAGGGGAUGAGACGAGAUCAUAUUAAUUUCGAGGUGUUAUCCAGAACAGUGGGGUCCACACUGACUGAUGAGGGAGGACUUGUCGUGGAUCCUGGACCUGGUGCACCACAUCAUCCAAUUAUCAUACGUGAAGUCUGACGUGGCACAACUGAAUGUUGGGCCCAAGCCCAAGUUGGAAAGGCUAGAUCGGGCUUCGGCAAACUGGGCCUUCAUAACUAAAAUUUUGGCCCAAAAUUGGACGGCCUCGGCCCGAACCUACUAGUCGCCCGUCCGAUAAUGGUUUAGCAAAAGCUUUAGUUUAACGGAGACAGUAUCUAACGCAAGAUUACUUCAUUUGCUGCUUCUAUGACCAUGUAAUAAUUGGUACGAAUCUUAAAGUCGUACAAAUAGUGGAUAAAAUAGUUUCAUCCUGGAGAGGUUUUUUUUUUUCAUUUUUUUCCUUUUCGGUUCGUGAAGAGAAUGAAAGUAAUAAUGGAAAAUAUGCCAAAAAUUUCGCACGGGGCGAUCGGGCUCGUUCAUAAGUUUGAAAGGAGCAGGACGAGACAUUCUAACUUUAAAUGCUGAAGCAACACAAAUUAACAUAUCUCGAUUUAAAGUAAUAUAAUAUUUGGGAAAAGAAAAGAAAAGAAAUAUCAUUGGGAGACUACAAUCCCAGAUGGACUUAGUUUCAAUAUCCAAAGAUUGGAGGGACUAAUAUGCAAUAACAUACAAUAAAUUGAUAAUGCCCAUCCUGGUGAUCUUGAUUACCUGAAUCUAGAUUGGUACUAAUUUAUUUAUUCAAUUAAAACCCACUUUAUUAUAAAAAUGAGCAGAAGCAAACCCCACUUACAUUGUGGGUAUGCACAAGUAAAUAAGCUAAAUAUAAGAAGAAAGAAUGGGCACCCACAUUCUCAUCAACAGCUAAAAAAACAAUACCUUUCCAAGAGCUUAAUUAGAAAUUUAGAAAAUCCAACAACCCUUGCUGAUGGAAGUGCUUUAACAAAAAUGUAAAGGCCCAAAGACAAAAGGCAAUGGGCUUUAACAUAAAAUGUUUGCUGGGCCCAAUUCGCUUUUUCACUUCAAAAGCAAAAGUUAAAUGUGUGACAAAACUUUAAAAAAAAAAAAAAAAAAGGGAAAAUCCAUGAGGUUUCUGAUAGGAAGCUGAUACCAAAAAGCAAAACUCCAAAUCACUAAAAUAUUUGAAUAGAAAAAUGGUUACUUUAUUCUGGCUAAUCUACUCAAAGCACUUUUGUAGAAGCUCCAAUCAAACUAAAGACCUGUUUGGCUCUUGAAAUAAUUUUUUUUUUAUUGAGAAAAUAAAACCUUCAAAUUUAAGUUUCUAUUUUUUAUUCUCAACUUUGUGCAAUGGAGCAGGCUAUUCUGAAUAUACCUAUACUGCUAGGAACAUAAAUAUAAAUGAUACCGAAAGACCAGUAAACCACCCACAUAUAACAAUAUGGAGUCCAAAAUCAUUAAUCUUUUUUAAAAGACAAAUAAAGAGAUCUAGAAAAGGCAACUUAAUUAAAAAUGAAGCUAGAGUAGAUGGAUCUUAAUGGGGGUGUGGUGGAUCAGGAUCAUGCCAAAGAGAUAGGCAUAGUGCAGUGGACCGCUCUCCUUUUGCCUGCUCUUGUGAUUUCCUCAUCCCCCAGUAGGGGUGUGAAUAAAUAAACAAAGAAGGGGUUGUUAUGGCUCAUGGGGUGAUGUUUGUUCCACUCUCAAUCAUGCAUAAAGUGGGGCCUUUGUUUAAUUUAUUGGGUUUGACGGGCAUUUACACUUGUACCAAUGAAGUACCAACAAGCUAUUCGUGGGAUUGUUGGGAGUCAUCUCCCAAGCUAUUGCUUUGUUUUUAAGGGCACUUAAUUGAAUCAUCUACAUGAGUGGAAUUUGUACAGAGAUACACUGAUUCUAUGUAAGGAACACUACUAAUAGUGGAAUUUCUUUUCUUAUAUAUUUGAGGGAUCCCUUGUUUAAGGUGAAUUUGUGAUUUUAGUUUCUCGUGUGCAGUGUGCAAGGGAUACAAAGUGGCAAAACAGAUUUGGCAUAGUGAUGAUUGUACCUACAUGUACUGCUGUUCUCUUAAUUUAGCCAUGAAAUGAAACGAGCCAAGUCUUUUAUAAUCCUAAAAGCUUGUUUAAUUCUGCUUUUACUUUUUUCAUAUUAAUGACAAUAACACGUCUGGACUUGAGAUUUUUUUAGUCAGCCCAUAACGUAGACUUGAAUUAAAUGGGAAAAAAUUAAUAUGCUAGGAGCCUGACGUGACUCGAACUCCGGACCUCCUAUUCUGAUAUCAUGUGAAACAAGUGUUGUACUCUAAAAGUUUAAACUAUUGAAGAACGAUGUUUAAAUAUUUUUAUAUUUAACGCGUAUAUCAAAACAAAAUUAAAAUAGAUUAAUAAAAGACAUAAAUGAGAUUCUAAUUAAGUAUCAACAAUAUAAGCUCUAAUAUAUAAUAUUAUUGAUUCUGUUGUAGCAGAAGUUUUUACGAGUAGUGUUUUCCGUAAUAGUGCUCUAAUUUUACUUCAUCCAACAGUAUUAGAGUUUGUACCACCAAACUUAUCAAAUUAGAUUACAGUGAGCUGGAGUUAUUUAACGAGAUAAAUUGUGCUUCGCCUCAAAAUAACGACGAAUAAUUUUGGAUGGCACGAAUAAUUUAUUUAUUUACUCAUCCUAAGUACAAACGGUCGAGUUCGGCUACAUUUGCAAAGGAUCAUCAAUCAAAAAAAAAAAAAUUGAUGAACGGCUCUGAUCGAACCUGGUGGGCCCCAAAUACGGCUGUACCCAAGCAGGACACGUGAGUACGUGACGGUCAAACAGAAACUCCCGUGCCACGAACCAACUUUGACCGAUCAAUAGAAUCCCACGCGAUUAGAACCACCCCAGGCACGUGCGAGCGCGCACGUGCAGCCCUGUUUUAGGUGUAGAACAAGUCUCUUUCCUUUGUCAUGUAACGCUACUUUAAUAUUCGCGCAUUAUAUAUAAGACGACGAUAUAUGAUUAAUUAGACCAUCUCUUAAUAAAAAAGAUUUUUAUAUAAUUUUUAAAAUUACCAAAUAUUAUUGUUGUCCUUUUAUAUAUAUAUAUAUAUAUAUAUAUAUAUAUAUAUAUAUAUAUAUAUAUGCAGGACUGCUGUGCUCUCCUGAGCCGUUUUCGAUGAUGGAGUUUCCGAAUCGACGAUCGGCUCCGUUAGANNNNNNNNNNNNNNNNNNNNNNNNNNNNNNNNNNNNNNNNNNNNNNNNNNNNNNNNNNNNNNNNNNNNNNNNNNNNNNNNNNNNNNNNNNNNNNNNNNNNNNNNNNNNNNNNNNNNNNNNNNNNNNNNNNNNNNNNNNNNNNNNNNNNNNNNNNNNNNNNNNNNNNNNNNNNNNNNNNNNNNNNNNNNNNNNNNNNNNNNNNNNNNNNNNNNNNNNNNNNNNNNNNNNNNNNNNNNNNNNNNNNNNNNNNNNNNNNNNNNNNNNNNNNNNNNNNNNNNNNNNNNNNNNNNNNNNNNNNNNNNNNNNNNNNNNNNNNNNNNNNNNNNNNNNNNNNNNNNNNNNNNNNNNNNNNNNNNNNNNNNNNNNNNNNNNNNNNNNNNNNNNNNNNNNNNNNNNNNNNNNNNNNNNNNNNNNNNNNNNNNNNNNNNNNNNNNNNNNNNNNNNNNNNNNNNNNNNNNNNNNNNNNNNNNNNNNNNNNNNNNNNNNNNNNNNNNNNNNNNNNNNNNNNNNNNNNNNNNNNNNNNNNNNNNNNNNNNNNNNNNNNNNNNNNNNNNNNNNNNNNNNNNNNNNNNNNNNNNNNNNNNNNNNNNNNNNNNNNNNNNNNNNNNNNNNNNNNNNNNNNNNNNNNNNNNNNNNNNNNNNNNNNNNNNNNNNNNNNNNNNNNNNNNNNNNNNNNNNNNNNNNNNNNNNNNNNNNNNNNNNNNNNNNNNNNNNNNNNNNNNNNNNNNNNNNNNNNNNNNNNNNNNNNNNNNNNNNNNNNNNNNNNNNNNNNNNNNNNNNNNNNNNNNAAAUUAGGCUCGCUCGAGCUCGGCUCGAAUUAAUUUCAAUCCAAGCUUGAGCUUAAAUUUAGGCUCGAAAUUAAUUUCAAGCCGAAUUUGAGCCGAGGGAAGCUCGCUCGAGCUCGGCUCGUUUCCACCCCUACGUUUAGGUGAGAGUAUACAUAAUAUUUUAGAUUUUGAAAAAAUAUAUAUAAUAUUUUGAAGUUUGAGAGGAUUAUAUUUGAAGAAAUAUAUAUAAUAUUGUGGGGAAUUAUAUGCUUAAAUUAAGCACGAGAAAUUUAAGCUUGUAGAUAAGAAUGAUUAAAAUGCAACAUCCGUAAAAGGAUAACGAUUUUGUUUUAGUUCCUAAUCGAAAAAAAUUUGGCAUCCGAUAAUUUCCCCGCGAUGGAUACACUUUAAUGAUGGGAAUGAGAGAAACAUCACACUUGACUAAUCACCAAUGAUGUGAAUUAUAACCCAUACAUAAAGAAGCAUAAGAUGACAUGAUCAAUAUAUAUAUUGGGUUAAAAAAAAAAGGGAAACUUUUAUGUAGUUAAACUAAUAACAACAAGACAGUGUAUUGUAAGCCCCACUAUAUUUAACAUCAAAUAAACUUAAAAAAAGUANUUCUUUAUACUAUAUAAAACAAGAUCAAUAUCUUUGAUUUAAAAUUUUAAUGUCAUAUUAUUAUAUUUUGUAAGAUUUUUAUUUUCAGCCGUUGAUUUUGAGCCCCUUUGUUCACUAGGCAAAUGAUAUCGUAAAAUCGUAAAAUUUAUUUUCUAGGUACUUCAAAUACUCUAGAUCAAGUUUAACAGCGCCGAUCAACGAUUCUCAAGUCGCAACAUCGAAAACGAGCUGGAAGUACGGAAGGCUCCGUGCUUCCGAUAGCAUAGUAACCUCACUAUAUAUAUAAAAAAUUAAGUUUGUUAUCUAAUAAGUGCACAUAUUACUGGAGAAAACAAAAAAUGGUGAUAAGCUGUACAAUCUAACAAGCUUUAUUAACAUUAAAGAAGAGCCGUUCCGUAUCUCCCGUGCAAAAGAAAACUUUUGCGAACUGCUUGACGAAGACAUCCAAUCCAAAAUUCAAAUCUCAUCUCAAUCGUUGACGCUGACGGAUACCUUCUUGAUGGACGGUCUGAUUGACCGCGAGAAUUUCUUGUGCAUCAGGGUUGCAGGAAACUCACGCCGUAUCUCUUGUUGCUUGAUCACCGUCACUAGCACCAAAUAAACAAUCCCACAAGCUAAAUCCAAAGUAUGGGGGCUUUAAUGAAUCCCAAUUAAAGAAACCAAACUCCAUUGAGCAGAGAAAGAGGCCAAAACCAACGCAACAUUAUUAUUAUUAUUAUUAUUAUUAUUUUAUUAAAAUUAUUAAAAUCUUAACUUGCAAGUGGGUUUAAACAAGCAGUGUUGGGUAACCGACUUUGCAGUGGUGCGAGCCUGUGAAUAGCCUGGAGAAUCCCAACGCCCAGAUGCACAGACAUAAAGAAUAGCCAAUCCAGUAAUAAAUAAAUAAAUAAAUAAAUACAAGGGUAAAGAUGUACGGAGAACUCCUGUGCUAUACUGAUAUUGCAACCUGAUGCUUAGGACUUUGAUUAUUGCAUUUAGCUCUUGCUUUUUUUCCUUUUUUUUCUUUUAAAUAGUUAUUUAUCUGUUUUUCGUAAAUAACUUUAGUAGUUUUUAAUUCAAAAACUAAUAUAUUUAAAUAAUAAUAUUGUGGAUUAUUAUUCUUAUGCACAUGAGUCCUAUUCAAAAAGAUUGGAGUGCCGAGCUCUAAAGAAAAAUUGAGUUUCGCUAAUUGCUUAAGGCCCCGUUUGGUUCGGGGGAUAAGCCGGGAUAACGAAAGUUAUCCCCGCUAUUCCGCCAAACAGAAUCAUUUUUUACCAGAAUAUUUUAUUCCGGUCAAAGCUUGCUAUUCCCGGUUAUCCCGGAAUAGCAAACUUUUUACUAUUCCACCAUUUUGGUGGAAUAGUGCUAUUCCAAUGCUUAAUUUUAAAUUUAAUUAAAAUUAUAAAAUGAAUUAAAACUCAAUUAUAUAAAUAUAAUAUAUUAUUUUUAUUAUAAAAUUAUUAAUUGUACUAUAUUAAUACAUAUUAUUUAUAUUUAAAUAUUGUAAUAAAUUUUAUAAUAAAUUAUAUUUAAAUACUAUAAUAAUAAAUUUAAUAAAUUAAAAUUAAUUUUGAUAUCUUAAAUUUUUGAAAUUUAAAUUUCAUAUUUUAUUUUUUAAAAUUUAAAUUUGAUCUUAAAUUUAAAGUUUGAAAUUUAAAUUUAAAUUUUAAAAUUUAAAAUUUAAAAUUUGAGAUUUUAAAUUUUAAAUUUUAAUUUUAAAUUUUGAAAUUUAAAAGUUAAAAUUUUAAAAUUUGAAAUUUAAAAGUUAAAAUUUUAAAUUUUAAAAUAUAAAUACAAAAUAUAAAAAUUCAAAUUCCAAUAUAAAAAAAGGGAUAAUAUUAUUAUUUUUAUUUAUAACUACCCACUUUAAUUCUUGUUCUAUCUUAUCUAACCAAACGCUAUUUUUCUUAUUUACAGAAAUAACCCAAUUUUCAUCCAAACGUAAAAUUGAUCUAAUCCCCGCUUAUACCUCAAUUUAUACCUAUCCCUGGAAUACCCACUUUUUGCUUAUUCCUGAACCAAACGAUACCUUAGAUAAUAUGUAAUAAUAUUGAUAUUAAAAAAUAAUUAAAAUAAAUAAAUAAAAAGUAUGAGGACCAGGUGCAAAGUACUGCUCAUAUAUUUUACCACCCCCUCCCCCCGUAAAGAAAAAUAUAUAAAUAAAUAAUAAAGAACAAAGAGUAUAGUAACCAACCUAUACAUGAUGCUAAUAUGCCUGAACAAUAAAGCAGAAAUAUGCUCAACAUUAAAAAAAAAGAGAGAGAAAAACAAAUACCAUCCCUUCACUAUCCCAUAAGGCCACGAGGGCGGCCACUCCAGUCCAAUCUCCCACGUCUCUCUUUCUCGCUUCUCUCUCGUACUAUAUUUUCUCUCUCCUCCCGACCUUUCACUUUUGCAUUCUAGUCUCUGUUUCUUCCACUGUACUUACUUAGCGCCCUUCCCAGUUCCCCCCACCCCCCUUAAUUUCGCUCUCUCUUCUUCGAGACCUUCUCCAUUCUCUCUCUUUCUCUCUCUCUCUCUCUUUCUCUUAUUAGAGAGUAAAGAGAGAGAGAGAGAGUAAAGAGAGAGAGACAGAGAGAGAGGAGAGAGAGGAGAAGGUGAUGAUGUCGGAGGAGGAGGAGGAGGGGGAAGGAGAAGAGCAGGAGAAGCGGCGGGCAGGGGAUGCGGCGCCGGCGAUGUGGGGGCAGAUCCUGGAGAACGUGGUGGAGAACGUGCUGCAGUUCCUGACGUGCCGGCGCGACCGGAACGCGGCGUCGCUGGUGUGCCGGUCGUGGCACCGCGCCGAGGCCCGGACGCGGGGGGACGUGUUCGUGGGCAACGCCUACGCGGUGUCGCCGGGGCGCGUGGCGCAGCGGUUCCCCGCCCUCCGCUCCCUCCUGCUCAAGGGCAAGCCCCGCUUCGCCGACUUCAACCUCGUGCCCCCCGGCUGGGGCGCCUCCCUCUCCCCCUGGGCCCAGUCCGCCGCUUCCUCCGCCUCCUUCCGCUCCCUCGAGCGCCUCACGCUCAAGCGCCUCUCGCUCUCCGACGCCGACCUCUCCCUCCUCGCCCGCUCCCUCCCCUCCUUCCGCGACCUCACCCUCCUCUGCUGCGACGGCUUCGGCACCCCCGCCCUCGCCGCCCUCGCCGAGCACUCCAAGUCAUCACCUUCUUCAUCAUCCUCAUCCUCAUCCUCAUCAUUAUAAUUAUUAUAAUUAAUUAACUCUCUCUUCUCCCUCUCUCUUACACACGCACAGGCACAGGCACACACAAAGCGAAAGAGAGAGAGAGAGAGAGAGAGAGAGAGAGAGAGAGAGAGAGAGAGAGUAAUAAUAAUAAUAAUAAUCCUUAAUUAAUUGAUAAAUUAAUUAAUUAACUAGCUAGUAUUUCAUUGUUUGUUUUUCUAAUUCGUUCCGCAACACGCAGGCAGCUCCGCGUGCUGGACCUCAUCGACAACGACCUCGCCGACGACGACGAGGACGACGCCGUGGACUGGGUGUCCCGCUUCCCCGCCGCCGCCACCUCCCUCGAAUCCCUCUCCUUCGAGUGCGUCGCCUUCGCCGUCGGCUUCGACGCCCUGGAGGCGCUCGUCGCCCGCUCCCCGCGCCUCCGCCGCCUGCGCGUCAACCAGCACGUCUCCGUCCCCGCCAUCCUCCCCGUCUGCCCCAACCUCACCUCCCUCAAUUUGAGCUACGCCGAUAUCUCCGCCCACCAGCUCAGGCCCGCCAUUUCGCAANGGACUGGGUGUCCCGCUUCCCCGCCGCCGCCACCUCCCUCGAAUCCCUCUCCUUCGAGUGCGUCGCCUUCGCCGUCGGCUUCGACGCCCUGGAGGCGCUCGUCGCCCGCUCCACCUGCCUCUCCGGCUUCCGCGACCUCGCCCCCGACUACCUCCCCGCCAUCCUCCCCGUCUGCCCCAACCUCACCUCCCUCAAUUUGAGCUACGCCGAUAUCUCCGCCCACCAGCUCAGGCCCGCCAUUUCGCAAUGCCACAAUCUCCAGACCUUCUGGGUAUAUAUAUUAUCUAUUAUAUAUAUCACCCCACCCUCUCUUUCUUCAAUUAAUUCGCCCGAUCAGCUUCUCCCUUUUUUUACCACGGAGUUCCGUCCCGCUGUCUUGCAGGUGCUCGACACGGUGCGCGACGAAGGUCUCCAAGCCGUGCAAUCAGCUCCGCGAGCUUCGGGUCUUCCCCUUAGAUCCGACGGAGGAUUCCGAGGGCUCCGUUUCCGACAUCGGCCUCGCCGCCAUCUCCCGCGGAUGCAGGGAUCUCCGAUCCAUCCUAUACUUCUGCCAGCGGAUGACCAAUGCCGCCGUCACCGCCAUGUCCGAGAACUGCCCGGACCUCGAGGUGUUCCGACUCUGCAUAAUGGGCCGCCACCGGCCCGACCACCGCACCGGCCAGCCCAUGGACGAGGGCUUCGGGGCCAUCGUCGUCAACUGCAAGAAGCUCACCCGGCUAGCCGUGUCCGGCCUCCUAACCGACAAGGCCUUCGAGUACAUCGGCAGCUACGGGAAGUCGGUCAGAACACUCUCCGUGGCUUUUGCCGGGAACAGCGAUUUGAGCCUGAAAUAUGUCCUCGAGGGUUGCACCAAUUUGCAGAAGCUCGAGAUCCGGGAUAGCCCCUUCGGCGAUGCGGGCCUGCUUUCCGGGAUCCAUCAUUUUUACAAUAUGAGGUUCGUGUGGAUGUCGUCCUGCAAGCUAUCGCUGAACGGAUGCAAAGAGGUGGCUCGCAGGCUGCCUCGAUUGGUGGUGGAAGUGAUAAGAGACCGGGCGGAGGACGAGGAGAGCGGGGCCGUGGAGAAGCUGUAUAUGUACCGCUCUCUCGCGGGGCCAAGAGAUGACGCGCCGCCUUUCGUGAACAUCUUGUGAACUAGAGCUGCUGAUUAUUCUGAAUUCGGUCGGUUUGUUUUCGUAUCCCACCGGAUUCCAUUAUGCUUGCUUGCUCCGUGGCGUGAAUAGUUGAUGACGGUGUUCUUCGUUGUUCGCAUGAAUAGGUGAUGAUGGUGGAAUAGCAGUUGCAGUCGAAGAUCAAAACAAUAUGGUGAGGAUGAGUACGAAGCGGAAAGGGGAGGUAUCUAGACGAAAGGAAAGAAGUAAUGUCGAGUUGUUGUAUCAGUAGGGCAUUAUUUAUACAGAUCAUCUGGAAUUUUAUGUGAUCGUGUUUUCCAGCACAAUCAAUUUUGCUUUCUGCGUUAGAGAAGAGCAUUCGGUCAUAGCUGCAUCGUUGAAGAGAUUUGUUUAGGUGACACCCGGAUAUCCGAAGCUUGUUUUCUUCAAGGUUUUUCUAUCCAUUUGAAGAUUUUGAUUUUGAUGUUUCUUUAUUUUCUUGGAUUGUUCUCUUUAUUUGAUCGAUGUGCCAGAUUCUUGAGAUAAAACUUACUUACCGGUAGGAACAAAUAAAAAUUAAUCUGUUUCUUGUUGCUGCUUUGGACUUCACUGUUUGAUCAUUGGCUACCCGAUAAGUGAUACUACUCGCAUUUGAUAGUUGUAGUUUUCUCGAAUUAUCCUCUGUUGUCGGCAUCCAGUUAUAAGGUUAGGCGACUAAUGAUUACAUAGCGGCCUGAAAAUUCAUACUGCGAAAGCUACAACCCAUGGCCUUUAUUGAGAAGUCAGUAUAAGUUAGGCUGUGGCCCAUUAAGUGAAAGGGAAAAACAAAAGAUUUCGUUGUCUUAGCAGUCACAGUCAUCAGGUUAGCACAGUUUUCUUUGAAUGCUUCGGUCGUUAGUCAUUCUGCAGCUAACUAUUGGCAGGUGGGCAGCAAUUAUCAAUCCCCAUAAUGUUUUUUUUAUUUUUUCUUUUUUUUUUUUGGUCUUUCACUAGACAUGUAUUUUUAACUUGCGCUAAUCUUUGUUGGCAAAAAGAAAUGUUAGCUAUCUUAGAAUCUCUUAAUAUUACUCUCUAGCACUGUUGAAUUGUCUUCAAGUCUGUAAAGCUUUAAAACACUGAAAGGUUAUUUAGUUGUGUCUUUAGCUUUUUGCUCUAUGAUAGAUUCUUUUUAUGACGAACUCCGCAUGUAGUACUUGCUCUAUAUGUGCCGUCAGCUUGUAUUUUGAGUCGAAGUCUUUUGAGGUGAAAAAAUCAAGCACCUUAGCAUAAUCUAGAAUUGAAACACUAGGGCAAGAUCAGACAGCUGCCGUUCUCUUUUUCUCUAACUGUCUGUUAGUCGACCAUGGCGAGGAGCAGAAGCAGCCAUCACGGCUUUUUCUCGUUGGCCCUGAUUCGAAAGAAGGUAAAGCGACUCAUCGGUCGUCAGGGAUCUAUCUACAGAGGUGAGCGCAUCCGGGCACAGAGGUGAAAAGAUGAUACGAGGACGAGAGGAUAAGGACUCAUCAGUUCAGUAGAAGCGAGCAUAUUUUGCUGUUGGAUUGUGAGGUCAGAAGAGGAAAAGAAAGAGAGUGACAUUUCCAGUUUAAAGGUGAUGCAAUCCAUUUGUUACAAGUGGACGGUUUAAUUGAGUACCACCCCUUGGUUGUAGGGGACCCCAAUCAUUGUUACUGCUACCUGUUUAUCCAUUUGUGCAAAUUACGAAAAAGAAAGAAAUCUUUAGGUAGUGAAUCUAGGGUAAAAAUCUGAUGCCUCUGCAGCUUUUGAGUUUUGUUAAUUUAAGUUAGGGGUUCAGUUAAAUUUCACGACGGUUCUGCAAAAUUUGAAAAUCGUAAGUUGAUUCUUUUUUUCUUUUUUUGACUGUCAGUGGUUGGUAGUUAGCAGAGCCUUGAACACAGCGCAAAUCGAAGCAACUAAAAGUUGGGGGAGGACAAUUCAAAAAGAAAAUCUGCUGAUAGAGUCUAUUUCGAAAAGGUCUCUACCUGAGGGGCUUCCUGUACAUUUCAACCUAUAGCUGCAGGAUGUUCUUUAUAAAGGAACUUGGUAAUUGUAGGCUUAGAGGAUGAUCAGGUUGACCAUUAUGGGUGAAACAAUUCACUCUUCCUCUCUUUUUCUUUGCAUUAUGAGGAACCUUUAGGUUUCUGUCAUAUUGUGUCUGAUAAAGCAGAGUAGUUUCUUUUCUUUCUCUCUUUUCUUUUUGAUGCCGAACAAAUUGAUGAAGAAAAGUUAGGCAGGGGGAGGGGAGGAUCAUUUAGCGAUUCGAUUACUGCUAAGAACAGCUCUCCUCACCUAACCAUCUUUUGAGCUAGGUGGGAGAAUCAAAUUCCUAUUUAUUGAGUGUACUUUAUUUGUUUAGAUGCUGAGAUCUCUAUGCUUACAGAUGGACUGUUAAACACCAAGUUGCAGAUAGCAUUUAAAAGUUGUUAGAUCAUAUUUUUAUCGCCUUUUCGAUCAUAGCAUCUCAGAAAUAGGGAUACAAGAGAUCUCAUUGCGCAGCCGCCUUUUCCUUUUUAGCUGAGAAAAGAAAUACAUAUCAUAUUAGUUUUCUAAUGCAUGGCCUUAUGCAAAAUAAGAUUAUCGCGUUACACUCCAUGCUCUCUCAUCAGGUAUCUACUCUUUUUCCUCAAAGUUCUUUAUUUCUACAUUUUUUUCUACUAGCUAUGUCAACAUGAUUGAUUGCUGAUUAACCCACUCCUUCGGAAAAUAUCUGUCGAUUGCGUGCGUAUCUACCAAUGUUAGUGAUAACUUUGAUGGAUAUUGGACUUUGAGUUGAACACUAAUAUAGUGACAAAAGUAAAACUUCGGCUGCAGAAAUUUAAUUUCUACCUUGAAUCUUUCUUCUCAAGGAAUAUGUUGCAUGUAACUAAUGACUAAACGAUUUCGGUAUUACAGUUUUGAUUUUUUACUACAUUAUAUAAGAUGUACAGAGCUGGGAUACUAUUGAUAGCACGAAGCAUUUGGUGCUAUUAAGUUUUCUGCCGUUAGAUUUAUUUCUUUUAUCAUUUUCAUCCGUUCGAUUAUACUAUUCAACCAACCACCUAUUCAACCUUAAAGGAUCCAUAUCAUUCUAACCGCAUAUCUUUUAAUUCAAGGGUGAAAAUUUUAAUAGCACCAAGUCAUUGGUGCUAUUAAUAGUAUUCCAGCCUAGUUCUCUCUCUCUCUAUAUAUAGAGAGAGAGAGUAGAGCUACUAUACUAUUGGAAGUAUAAAGUAGUUGGUGCUUCCAAUUUUUUAGCCCUUAGAUCAAUCCCAUUGAUCAUUUCUAACCAUUGAAUUAAUAUUAUUAACUAAUGGGGACCACUCAAUCCUAAGGGGACUGCUAUCAUUCCAAUCAUAGAAUUUUUUAUCAAAGGGCUAAAAAAUCGGAAGCACCAACUACUUUAUGCUUUCGAUAGCAUAGUAGCUCUACACUAUAUAUAUAUAUAUAUAUAUAUAUAACUAGGCUGGAAUACUAUCAAUAGCACCAAGUUAUUGGUGCUAUUGAUUUUUUAGCCCUUGAAUUGAGAAAUGGAUGGUUAGGAUGAUGUGGGCUCUCUAGGGUUGAGUGAGUGGUUGGUUGAAUAGUAUAAUCUAACGGGUAAAAAUAAUCAAAGUGUUAAAUCUAACGGUGGAAAACUCGAUAGCACCAAAUCAUUGGUAAUAUCGAUAGUACCCAUAUAUCCCUACAAUCUACAUCAGUGGCCAUGACCAAAUAACAGUCUUCAGAAAUCUUAGGCAUAAGCUUGGACCUAUAAAUGCUUCAUGUUCCUCUUUUUUUCUCUCUUUUUCUUUUUAUUUCGAGCUUUUGUAAUAUUUUGUAAUGGGCCUAAAAACUGUGUGAAAAUUCUGCAAGAAUUUGUUGAGGAAUAUCAACGUACAAAGUAGCUAUAUAGCUUUGCCUAAAAGUUGCUUAAAAGAACAUAUUCUAAACCAUAAAUGCCUAAAGAUCGUAGCCAGAUUUAUGAUGUUGAUAAUAUGUACAUAAUCUUUUGAUGUUUGAAACAAAAAAAGGUGAUUCUCUUUGACAGAUGAUGAAUAUAUACAAAGAAGAUUUUUGAUGUCUUAAGUGGCAAUCAUUCUUAAUGACAUGAGAGAUAAUAGGAUAAUUUAGUGAUAGAGAACAAAUUAAUACAGAUAAUGAGGCAGAAAAGAAAUAAAGUUUAUUGAGCUUCAGGAAAGAAAAGGAAAAUCAUAAAGGGAGAUAACACUUUAAAUCUUGGAAAUAUCUGAUUUGGAGAAUAUAUAGAUUUUGCGAUUGGAUUUACUCUAAUUUCAGAAAAUUCCAGUGAACUCUAUUAGAUUUAACUUUUAUGCCAAAAGAUCACAGAAUAUUUUGUUAAGAGGUGUUAGGAAUUAAUGCAUGCAGUAGAAAAACUAUUUUCUUUCUGGAAAAUAGUUUUCGGUAUGUUUGUUUAGUCGUAAAAGUAUAUAUAUUUUCAGUAAAAAUGGGUCGACGGAAAAUGAAAACUUGCACCAUUUUGUACACUACAUUUUUGUCUACCAUGUUUUCUUUUUAAUAUUUAGUCUUUACCAUUUUGUAUGUACCAGUUUUUUUUUAAUUUAAAAUUUGGAUAAUAAAAUUAAAAGUAUGAGAUGAAUUGGCAGUUGUUUGAAGUAUGGUGCAUGGGUGCAUUGGGUGCACAAUUUUAUUCCUUUUCUGGUGUACCUCCCCCCACAUUAUGAUUAAAAUAAAAUGUCUAAAUAAUAUAAUACACUAUGUGGUAAUUUACUGUAUUUUUAUUUAUAACAUACAAACUAAUAUCCAACAUAAUAUAUUAUAUUUUACAGAUUAAUAUAAAUAAUCUAUGUUAUAUUAUAUAAAUUAUUAUGUGUAAAUGCAAUAGAAGAGAAAAUAUAAUUUUUUUCUAAGCAACCAAAAAAAAUCUUCAUCUCUAUUUUUUGCCAUCCAAACGAGGAUAAUCUAAAAAAAAUACUUUCUUUUUCUGAUAGGCCAAACAUUAAAGUUUCUAAAACUGUUUUCCAACCGAACAGAUCCUAAGUGAUAGACUACUUUAACACGUUAUAAAAUAUUCUAACAAAAACUUAGCGGUACUAUUAGUUUUUUUUCUUUCCAGAGAGAGGAGGGUAGCAUGCUAUUCGCUUUAUUUAUUUCAGUACUAUUAGUUUUUAAUUAAAAAACACUUAAACCAAACAUAAUUUUUGUUCAAAUUAUAAAAAUGAAAAAAUUCUCACCAUUUUGGUAGAGGGAAUAAUUUACCUUAUUUGUCAUAGUUGUGGUCAAAAUUUUUACUUGAUUAGAUCUAAGAUAUCAUAAAUGGUUGUAUUAAAUUAUCCCAACUGCGGCUUGGUGCAUUCGCCUUCAGAAGUUGGAUGUUUUAAGUCAACCAUAAAGCCACUUAAAUGAAAGCAUAUGCUUUGAGAUUUAUGCAUUAAAAUAUCUAGAGAUUAAUUAAGCAAAGCCAUUGGAGGAUUAAAUUAUAUAAAGGCUCAUGAGGGAACCUUUCAAAAAAGAAAUGUAAAAGAAACCAAGUUGUCCCAUCACAGUAGUUGCUCUUUCAGAACUCCUGAAAGGUGUGCAACAAACUAAGAAUUAAAGCUUUUUCGAAUCACAUAAUAGAUCUAAGCAUAGGGAAUCAAAAAAGUGGUCCAAGAGCUAAAAUCAAAUUCACUAUUUAAAUAGUUCCCAUGUUUGACAUAUUCUCAUCAAUCGAGACCUUAAUGUCCACUCCUCAGUGGAGCCAAGUUACAUGAUUCUCCUUCUCAAAUGGAGAGCUCCAUUACUUCCUACUGCAGUAGAUUCAUGCAUGGUAGUGAACUUUUUUUUUUUAAUUUUUCCUUUUUUUCUAAAGAAAGUGAUCAUAAACAGACAAUGUAUCUAACCCCAAUCGAUCUGAAGUCAACUUUGGAACCUUUGGCUCUGCAAUUAUCCAACUGCUGAGGCAUUCAUUAAGAAUUUCAUUCUCUUUUUGCCUUUUAAGGGACAUCUGUAAGUUAAUUCCUGAUGGAUGGUACGCUUUUUUAAUUCACAAAAAAGUACUUGCCCGUUCAAAAGCCCGAAUUUUUUUUACUGUAGAAGAAAUUAAAAUGAGUUUGCGAAUAAAGUAAAUAAUAGAAUCUCUAAUUUGAAGCUCCGGAUAGCUAGUAUUUAAUUACUUUUUUGUUAGUAUUUUGGGGUAAAAGCUCCAGCCGUACCUAACGGGGCUGUGAAGAACAAAUUAUUCUUGCCUUUUCCUUUAACAAGAAUAUAAUUUUUAGUAACAUGUAAGUUGGCUUCUUGGUGAAAAAUCUGGUUAUUCCAUCUGAUAAAGAGCCCAAUAUCCUAUGUAAAUGGUAUGUAAAUUAUUUAGAAAUGGAAUCUUUUCCUCUUUUAUUUCUAACAUAAAGAUUGAGUAGAAGUUAAACCAAGAAGGACAAGCACAUGAUUUAGAUCCUAGCUGAGGAAGAUUGUCUGUCAUGUAAACUGGCCUUGUCAUGCCAUUCUGUGAACUUCAUUAUUUGAAUUUUAUGUAGAGCUAGAUCUACAGCAAUCAGCAUGUAUGAUGUACCUCCAUUCAGAUGAAGACAAGUACUCCACAGUGGGCGCAAACAAGGACCUAGCUAGUCAGAUAAAAUCAUCACAAGAUAAAAAAAAAUGGCAGCACAUAUCUCUCUCUCUCUCUCUCUCUCUCUCUCUCUCUCUCCAUUCAAAUUUGGCCUACCUCAUGUCCUUUUUAUCCACCUAACUUCACAUGAUACUGACUCUCCCAAGCUAUACUAAUUAAUGAAACAUAAUAGAUUGCAACCGAUCGUACCUAGCGUAACUGAUUAAAAAUUAAAUGAUUGAUAUCUAAAGUUUUAAAUUUGAAUCUUAGAAUUACUUUAUAUUUCUAAAUGAGCUUUAUUUUUAAAAAGUGAACAAAACAAAUAGCAUUCUAUCUUUCUCUCUCUCUUUAAAAAAGAAGAAGAUAUAAUAGAGUGUAAAUUGAGAUGCUUGUUUAGAAGCAAUGAAGUAUAUAUUCCCUCUGAAGAGUUUUGAGCUUUAACCACUCAUGUAUCCUUGAUGAGGAGUUCCACAAAAGGAAAGAAAGACAACAUGUUUAAUUAUCAAACAAACCUAACCAAAUUUUCAGAAGGAAAUUGAAUGUGAAAUUAUAGGCGCAAGUCUCUGUAGGCAGAUUGGAUCUGUGCUUGACCUUUCCCUCUGUGAGGCCCAUUUUGGAAGAGCCAAUCAUUCACCACCCCAUUAAGAGAGAGGAGAGGAGAAAGAGAGAGGGCCACUAAAAGUCACUGCAUUUGGAAGCCUUGUUUGCUUGUUUGAAAGUGGGGAGGAAUCUCUCAUCAUUCCCCCUCCCAGUUCAAACCCUAUUUCUGGUGCAACAGAUCCUUUAAACAGUCACUGCCACAACAUAUAUACAGUAAUAAAAAAGAAUACUCUUUUCUCUCUAUCUGUAUGUAUAUAUCUCUCUCUACUCUAUCUCACUCUCUUCUGUCAACAUGCAAAAGCUGCAUUAGUUAUUCACCCAUUUUGGAGUACAGUGGUGAUCAAUAGAGUCAGAGGCCUUACUUUAAAGAGAGAAGGUUUUGGUGUGGGACUGUAAAUUGGUCAAAAGUGAUUUCAAACUGAGUCCAUUUCUUUCUCUCAUUAAAGCAUGUGGGGUCUUUUCUGGCAAGAAACUGGACCUGAUGACCAGGAUGAGUUAAACCAACUUUGCCAUAUAUAAUAUUGUAUGUACAUGACAUGGUACUGCAAUUACUACUAGCUACUACUGGACCGAAUUAUAUCGUAUGACCUUGAGCCUAUGCCUAGCUUUACUGAAUAUGAGAGAUUGAAAACAACAGCUCCACAAGGGGUAAAGUAAAAAAAAAAAAAAAAAAAAAAAAAAAAAUCACAUGCGUAUAACUGAGUGUGUUGGAGACAUACAGUUCAUCCUUUGGAUCAAUUUCGGUAGCCAUUUCUACCACAAGCAGCAAAAUGCUUGGUAGUUGAUACCCAAAGGAUCAAGUUCGAAGCGCAGCUGCUUCAUAUUUCUGAUUAAGUUCAUAUUUUAAAAAGAAAAGAACAAAGACUACCUUUAUCUCCAAAAAAAAAAUGGAUAACCAUAUUUAGCGCAUUCAAAGCUGGACAUUUUUAAUUGCAGACUAAUAAGAAGGAGAAAUGGGAUUCUAGGCUUGGAAAACAAAAUGUUCAAUUUGGUGCUUCUGAUGCUGCUAUAGAAGUAAAUAGUAUUGUACAAUAAUAAAUGAAGUUCCUAUCCAUUUUUAUAUCUAGUGUGCUCUUGGAGACCACUAUCCAUAAAUUUCUCAUGGACUCGCACAUCAUAACUACGCUUUAAUUAGUUAGCUUUGCCCCAAAGCUGUACAACAACGAAGCAGGCGUUCAAAAGUUGGAUGUAGCCCUAAUCAAGUUUCAUACACCAUGCUUGGGUGGUCAAAAUGAUCAAAUUGGUUAGGCAAAAGCCAAUGCUAAAGAAAGGUGAGAGAGGAAAUAUCAUAAGCUAAAAGGUAUAGUAAUAAAUAGAGAAAGCGACUCAUCUUUAUGAAUAAGAGGCAUGCCUCAAAGCAUGCAUUAGGUAUAUAUUGAGCUACCUCUUCAUUCUCAGAUGUGUGUGGGCUCACACUCUUUUUUUCUUUUUUCUUUUUUUUUUAAAAACUUUUUUGGAGGUUGAUGCUAUUGGUUUCACACUCUUUCUAUUUCAAGUGUUAGAAUGGGAGAUCACUGAUCACAAGCUAGCACAUGUGUUUGUCGCGAUCAUUUUUUAUCAUGAGAGCAGAUGAUAAAAGGAAACAUGUGAGAGGUCAUUAAUUUCUUACAGUAACUCCGCGAAGAGUUGAGUUAAAAUACUUUUACAAGUAUCAAGUCUUCGGUAUUUUCAUGUCAUUUCGAAUGAUGGGCCAUCCAAAUUGAUGAUCCACAUUAUUAAAUAUAAUCUAUUGUGCGUUAAUCUUCUAGUCGAAGACAUCUCAAAAUUAGUAACUUUCACCGGCAUAUGUAAAGUGCAUUUAUGACUGCUUGAUCACUAGAUAAAUAAUUUUAAAAAUUCAUGAAAUGUCGUUUUAAGAAAGUUAUGUGCUAUAGAUUAUAUUUGACACCUUCGAUCGUCGAUUUGGAUACCCUCGUCGAAUGCAAUGUUGAAGUAUGGAAAAUGUGAUGCUCCUAAAAGUUAUUCUGACUCAAUAAACCCUAGUUUUUGAAGCUGAAACGAGGAGAAUAUAUAUAUAUAUAUAUAUAUAUAUAUAUAUAUAUAGAGCUAAGGCUAACGAGCUCCGAUACUAUAGUGUUGGUUUCGAUCUUAGGGCGUUCAAAUCAACGAUCCAUACCGUUAAAAACUGAUCUAGGGUAUUAAAGUUUCUAGAAAUAAAAUUUUAUAUUUUUCGACAUAGUUUAUUAUUAUCAAACUAUUUCAAAAUUGUCAAUAUUUCAAUGGCUAUUUAAACAGAGUUUGGAGUUUAAAACGUGUGUAAAGAAUUCAAAUUUUCUUCAAAUUUUGAUAAAAAACUUAAACUAAUAUAGAUUAAGGUUAACAUUCUUAAUCUUGAAUUUAAAAGUCCUAUGCUCAAAAUUUUAAAGAUUAUUCAAUUUCCACCGUCCAUUUGAUAUAAUUUAUUUACAUAGUAAACGAUAUCGAAAAACUAAAAUUUAAUUCCUAAGAAAUUCAUAUACCCUAUAUAUAUUUAACGGUGUGGAUCGUUGAUUUGAAGCCCUAAAUCGAAAACAACACUAUAUACGGAGCUCGUACUCAUAAUAUUAUAUGUAGCCUAAUUCUAAUUAGGAUUUUUAGCCAUUGGAAUCUACUCCUUGAUUACUAAUACCCUUCUGACAAACACUAUUCCACACUAUCACCACUACCCACCGAUCAUCUCAACCUCACAUCUCUCCCCAUCCAACUGGCUUUAAAACAAACUCAAAAGCACUACUUCACAUAAACUUUAUACAAGUAUUCUACUCAACUCAUAUAUAUAAUUAUAUGAGCAGGCUGGCUGUCUCUCAGGACACGGACACCUCCGUACUCCUGAGCACGUUUCGAUGAUGGAAUUUCGGAAUCACGAUCGGCUUCCGUUAGACUUGAAUAGCAGAUUGAGAGUUUCUGAAAUCAAUUUUGCCGAUUUUUUCGAUAUCAUUUAUCUAGUUGACGGAUUAUCUAGUGAUCGAAGGAUGGUCACAAAUCCAUAAUUUUUAAUGGUUGAUAAUCUGCCGUUUUCCAAGUUUAACGUGUAAAUAUUCCAAAUACAGAUGAAUUUGAUAGAAAAUUCUUGAUACUAUUACAGCACAGAUCUUAUAUUUUUGAUCAAAUUUAGUGUUAUAUCCAUCCCACUGUUUAUAGAUAUCUUAUUUUCAGCCUUAAAAAUUAUUGAUUUGAAUCCUUUCCGAUUGCUAGUAAUGAAUCGAAAUAAUCGUAAAAUAUUAAUUUCCUAGAAACUACAAUACCUUAAUCAAGUUUAACGGAUGCCAGAUCGUCCGAUUAGAAAUCCAUCAUCGAAAACUGCAUCAGGAGCACGGAGGCCUCGCGUGCUCCUAGACAACAGCACAGCCCUGCUUAUAAUAUAUAAUCUAUAAUGAUAUAUAUAUAUAGUAUAUAUUAGAGUGAGGCUACUAGCCUAUCGGAAGCAGGAGCCUUACGUGCUCCAGCUCGUUUUCGAUGUUGGCGACUUUCGAAUCGUCGAUCGCACUCCGUUAAACGGAUCUAGAAGUAUUUGAGUACCUAGAAAAUAAAUUUUAUUAUUUUGAUACAUUUGCCUAGUGAUCGAAUGGGCUCAAAAUCAACAAAUUUCAAUGGCCGUAGUGAGCCGUUUGCAAGUUUAAUGGUGUAAAAAUAUCCAAAUCAUGUAAAAUUUUGAUAGAAAUUCUUUAUACUAUGUAAAACAAGAUCAAUAUCUUUGAUUUAAAAUUUUAAUGUCAUAUUAUUACAUUUUGUAAGAUUUUUAUUUUCAGCCGUUGAUUUUGAGCCCCUUCGUUCACUAGGCAAAUGAUAUUAUAAAAUCAUAAAAUUUAUUUUCUAGGUACUUCAAAUACUCUAGAUCAAGUUUAAUUUAACGGAGCCGAUCGACGAUUCGAAAGUCGCAACAUCGAAAACGAGUUGGAAGUACGGAAGGCUCCGUGCUUCUAAUAGCAUAGUAGCCUCUAUGCUAUCGGAAGAGAGAGAGAGAGUCCGGCUAUGGUGCUUUUUAAAAAAGUACUUAGUGUCGGUAAGCUUUUCGUCGUUAAAUUUAUUUUUUUAACCUUUUUUAUAUGUUAGAUUAUACUAUUCAAUCAACCACUUAUUCAACUCUAUGGAAUUACUAUCAUCCUAACCGCAUAUCCUUUAAUCCAAGAGCCGAAACCAAUAACUUAGGUAUUUUAAAAAACAUAAAAGCUCAAUUCUAUAUAUAUAUAUAUAUAGUCAAUAUUAAGCUAGGUGAAAAAGGUGAUCAAAUGAAGAAUCGAAUGAAGGUGCUAUUUGAGCCAUUGAUCCUCUAUUUGAUGCACCGACUCCACCGACCCAUUUUCAUCCCCAUCAAAAAAAAAAACACUAAAAAAUGACAAAACAAUAAGUGAUAAAGCUUCCACCUGGUAUUAUUAUAGUAAACCCAAUACAGUAAAAACCAUUACAUGCAUGUGCUUGGUAGAAACGCUUUAUUAUAUAUACUAUGUUUUUACCACUCUUCUCAUUUAAGCUCCUGCACUAGUACACGUAUUUACGUGUGUUGUUACUAGCUAUUUAGUGGAAAUAAAAAGAAAAAGGCCAUAGUACGUACAUGUGUAGCUAACACCACUCCACAAUGGUCCCGUUUGAAUGUACCAGAUUCCAACAAAUGAGUAAAUGUUCAUAAUUUUCUUAGGAAGCGUAACCUAGAUCCAAUGCGAAAAAAUAGAUGGGAACAAGAUCUAAAACUUGGGACCAGUUAACACUCAGCUAAUUCAAGAGAUAAUUGCUUGCACCUGGCGCACCAUUCCGGCGCCCAUAAACCAUCCGCUGGCCUCAAUUUGCACUCAGCAGUAGUACUUUCUAGUGUGAAAAAAUGUUGCGUACGUGCUUGUGAUGCACCGCGCCAACCAUGCACUCGUUAAUGGUUCUUCUCUGUAUUAUAUAAUGGCUGAAUUUAAAAUAUGGGCGCGGAUGAAUAGUAGAUCACUUGUUAAUGUGCAAGCUCAAGUAGUACACCUUGUGUAGGCAAUAAAUUUGUGUAUUUCGUGGAGAUCCUAUCUCACAAAACAUAGAGAUAUUAUUAGUAAGAUAAUGGAUUUAAUACGAUUGUUCUUCGUUACUGUAAUAAAGCAUAGAAUCAGGGGACAACCCCCUCUCUCUCUCUCUCUCUCUCUCUCUCUCUCUCUCUCGACAAGCACUGCAACGUGAUGAGGAGUACUAUGAAUUUAAGAUGCCAUAAUUACCGACCGUCCCUAAAGCAAGUGACAAAGGGUUUGGUGAUUGGUACUCGAGAUUCAAGUUCGAAUCCUAGUUGAUUCACAUUUUCAGCUAAAUUUAUUUCUAAAUGAAAUAAACGAAGCGGGUAGCGUGCUAUCUAUCUCUCUCUAAAAAAAAAAAGCCAUAAUUAACGAGUAAUUAAAGAACGUAAAUAACACUGUAUUGAUAAGCUACUCUGUAUAUAAGUUGUCGGCAAAAGACCUUGUUUUGUAUUAUAGCAGUUUUUUUUUAUAUUUAUUUAAGCACCAGUUUUCUAUAGUUUAAUCGACUACUCUUUUACAAAAUGUUCGAAGCAGGGAAAAAAAAAUAUAUAGUUUUUUAUUUUUUUUAUUGUCAAACAAACACAUUGGAUGCAAGAACUGCAAACAAAUGACCAAUCCCUUCUAGAGCAUUUCAUGAAGAAAUUUUAUUUUAAAAAAUAAAAAAAAGGCAACUAUACCGAGCGAGCUCUUGACUUUUCAACUACAUGCCAAAAGAUUGGGGGCCCAACAGGCCCAGGGCCUCAAUAUUCAAAAAAAGACUUGAGAACUACAAAGGGACCCAAAGCAAAAUGGGCCAAAUUGGGCCUGAACCCAGUUUCACCUAGCCCAUUAAGAAACUUUAGCUACGUAUAUAUGACUUAGCACUACAAGUAGCCAAGGAUUAAAUAAAAUAAUUACUCUUUCAUGCCUUUUAAGCAGCUUAGACAUUAGAAGCAACUUGGAAUUAAUGGAUCUUGAUACAAUAUACCCAGCAAGAAUAUACAGUAUGUGUUUUCUCCACACACACACACAGAAAAAAAAAAAAAAAAAAAAAAAAAAGGAAGGAUGUGCAUAUGAAAGUAAUUAUACUGAUUACAGCUGAGAAAGCAGAAUCCAUUGUGCGGUUGAUAAUAACAUGGUACUUAGUUGAAUCCUAUAUAUAUAUAUAUAUAUAUAUCAUCAUCAUCAUCAUCAUCUAAUAUUCGACAAAAUAAAAACAGUUUACAGACUUAAUUUUAUGUAUGCAACGCUGCGGUGAAUACAGCAGAAGCAUCCAUACAUAGGAGAAAUUGGAGGAGAUAAACGGAGCAGGUAUUCGAAAAAAAAAGCUAUUGACCCACACGGUUGUUUUCAUAUCACGUUCGCGGCGAGUUCGCAUACGGCGCAAACUCAUCACACCGCGUGUGGAGCGGGUGAUGUGAAGGAACUUGGGCGCUUCAAAGUUUAAACUGAUUGGCCCAGUCCUUGGCGGGGUGAAGUGAGAGCAGGUCCACCACGUCAUCCGUGAACCAGCCAAUAGAAGAAAAGGGCAUAGAUAAACAAUGGUCCGGGUCCACGGACGACGUGGUGGACGGUUACCACGCAAUAAUAGCCACAACUACCGGGGCGAUCUCGGGGAUCUCGCCAACCACCACCACCCAACCUUGUUCGCCAUCGGUGUGGACCAGCACUCCGGGUCUCGGACUCGACCAUCACCAACAAUUAAACUGGGCCCCACACACGUGCGCGGGGGCUAAGUCAAAGUGGGCCCCAACCAUUAACCAACGCGGCAUCGUGUAUAAUAAAUAAAAGUAUAAUAUAUGAAACGGUGGGCCCACGUGGGGCCCGCGCGCUUUAUUUCGAACCAUCAUUUUGGUCCGUACAUAGGGCGCAUCAUGCACCGCAACUUCUCCUCGACCUUUGCAUGUGUCGUGUGGGCCCCGCUUUGCUGGUCCUUUUUCCGCACCAACAUCGUCUCCCGCUUUCGGGGCCCAGAAAGGGACGCGUCUGGGUGACUCUCAAAUGUGACUCUCGUUCGUGACCCGGCCCCCCCUAUGCAAAUUCGAAAUUUCAACUCGUGUACCACUGUAGAGAGCAAAAUUAAUGGAGCUUCUGUGUGAAAUCGAAAGCAAAAUGAUAGAUAUACUAAGGCUUCAUUUUGCAACGAGUUUGUUGUUCGCAGAAGCUCUUUCGCAGAAGCAUGUGGCCUGCUACGGCAGAACAAGCACUUUACAACGCGUGAAUUAUAUGUAAUUUGUUCAUUCAAUUUUUACAUGCAUAAAGAAAAAUGCUACAUUUUGCCCUGCAAAAUGUUCCAUGCACGAAACGCAUGCAAGAUGCCGUUGUUGGCAUCAUACCGUAGGCCCACAUAGGCAUUAAGCAUUACUCAGGUAGUAGAAAUGCACUAUACAAUACAGCUAAAGAUCCCUUUUAAAUAGGUGGAAAGGGUACUAAACUGCUUAAGGUGCUACUGGUUAUGCUACAAUAGGAGUUUUGUAGGAUUUUUAAAAUUACAAAGCGUUUGUUCUACAUUGCACACACAUAAGAAGAAGAAGAAGAAGAAGAAAAUUAGUAUCGUAAGAUCACCACAAAUUGCUAGAUUGGGAGAUAAGUGAAAGCCUACACAUUUGAUUUUUUUUUUUUUCCUUAAUUAGUUCCAAGGAAAAGCAAUACCGCCGGAGUUAUACUCUAGCUAGCUUUGUGUGGCUAGAAUUUAUCCAAUGGCCUGAUGAAUCCUAGGUUUUAUUUUUAUCUUUUUUACUGUAAACCUCUAACGGGUUUUUCGAAUCUUGGAUGCAAGGAUGAAAACUGUACAUCCUUAAUUAUAUAUGUGUAAUUGUUGCAUUUAUUUUUUAUUGCCGUUAAGGAAGUGGAUGCAAGGGAGGGGACCUAACAUAAGAAGGGUUCUAAUUGGUGUUUAAAGUUGGAAUUUUUGUGCCUAUGGAUCAGAAACUAGAGGUUAGAAUUAUAUCGAGCCUAUAAGAUAUUUGCAUUGAUGAGUAGAUUUGAUGUUAACUUGGCACCAAGAUGUAAACAAGACAGCUUAGGCAAUUACUAUUAAUUGGGCUUAAACCAAUGUUAGAUUCUCUAUAUAAAUGAGUUGAGACAUUGUCUAAUAAGAGAUUAUAAACUACAAAAAUUGCUUCUUUUGAUGGUUAGAUGAAAAGUCGUUUGGUGUGUUAGACUCACAAGGAUCACUUUUNAUAUAUAUAUAUAUAUAUAUAUAUAUAUACACAUCACACUUUAAUUGGUAUACCAUUCUUGUUUAGCGUGAUAGAUUACCUGCACAGUUGUUUCUCUGCAUAAAAAUGUUUCUACCAAUUGUUUAGAAUAAUUAAUGAACCCUUGAUUUUAGAUUAAUUAUAUUUCGACAAUCUAGGCGCGCACAAGCAUUGCCUAAACCCAUUUGCGAGACACUGCUUGAACAAGGAAAUUAGAAAGAAACCACUAAAUCACAAAGAUUUAAGAUGAAACCUCUCAAACCCUCCUAAGCUAAAACAGGACCUGAUUUGAGCCCAAGAGCAUGGGUUUAAUCCUACGUCGAUUGAUCAUAACAAGAUCAGAUAAAAAGCAUUCAAUAACUUCAUGCAGAAAAGAUAGCCAUAAAAAUGGACAUUUAAUUAUUUUUUAACGCCAAAUGGCGAAUUUUCAUUGAUCCAUUGAAGAAAUUUAGCUUAAAAGAACUAAUUAAAAAAUCUGAGACAAGUAUAUAUGUGUAAGCCCCCACAAGCUAAGUCCCAUAUCCAAGUCACAAAUAAGAGUCUACCUCAGUAAGCAGCAUGGUCACCAGAGAGAAAUUUAGCGCACUCCAAUUUUAUCCAAACACUCCCACAGGAAAGGGAAAAAACCACAUCAAAACCUUCUCUUUUCGUUUAAGUCAUAAAUAGCAAACGUUCACAUCACUCUCUCUAGAUUCAUCACACAACACUAUACAUGCAAAAAAAAAAGAGGGAAAAAAAAGGAUGUAUGUACUACUUUUCACAUACCAAAAGGAUCAUUACUUAGCUAACUAGCUAGCUAGAUACCUCUUCUAAGAGCUUAUACCUUCUAACUUUGCCUCUAAAUGCUUGCCUCCCCUUCCCUAAUGAGCUCGGUGACACCUCCUCCGGUGUUCGUAGCCGCUCGGUCACGUCCGAUGCCGAUCGAUUCAAUAGUAGUCUUUGCUUCUUUAUCGGCUUGUUUAGGUGCGAAGCGAACGACCCGCGAUGGAGCUUUAACCCAUUAGUGUUACUAGUAGUGAUGGUAUUAGAGGAAGAAGAUGUCGAGUUAUUGUUGUUGUUACUGUUGUGGUUUUCGAUUGUAGUGUUCUCUUCUUUAUAAUGAAGGUGCUUCGCUCCUUCCUCCCUUAGACACCAAUUGCACGCGCGAUACGCCUCAGCCUUCGGGUAAAGAUCACUGCAGUAUCUGAUGUAGAUGAAGAAGAGCAGUGAGAUCGUUCCUUUCGCCCAACCAAAAAAAACAAGAAGUCGUGUGGGAUGCAUUCAUUCUAUUGCGACGCACCUCUCCAUAGUAGAGAACUAGAUGUGAAUCUUAAAGCAGCGAUGAAUACUAUCCAAUGUGUUCCUAAUAGGAUUCGAUUUAUCGCAUAUAUCGAAUUUUCGUUCACAUUUGGAUUACUCUUAAAUAUUGAGAGUGUACUAAUGAAAAUGCACUCUGUUAAAGAAUGAAUUUUCAAGCAACCAAAAAAAGCCAAAUAAAAUUAAACCAUGAAAUGUUACAUUAUUUUGUAGAGAAAACAUAAAGGAUCGAUCUUACCAAUAGUGUACAAAUUAAUGUUCUACUAUGUAUAAAUAGUGAGAUGCGUUAAAAUUACUAGCAAUAUAUAUGGAUCUAGCUAGAGAGUUGCACUAAAAUUAAGAAUCAUGGCCUAAUCACAUAACAGUUGAGAAUAAAGUUUUUGUUUUUUCCCCUUUUUCCUAUUCCCUUGAAUUUGAUGGAUAACGACAAUGGUCUCGUAACAUUUUAUGAGACUAAUCAAACUUAUAUAAUAUAAAUAUGAUAACGAAAUCCAGCGCCAGUUUUAAUGGCUUUGCCGCGUCGGUGGCGGAUUAAUUUGCUCACAAUAAUUGUGACAGUGUCAGAUUCAUAGCAUAACCACAAAAUGAGGGAGAAACGCGGUAAACGACUCGAUCAAAUAAUGUGAUUCAUCAUCUAGUAUUUCGUCAAUAAUAAUAAUAAUAAUAAUAAUAAUAACAAUAUUCACACGCCACAACAAAAACUGCAUUCAAUUUGGGAAAGAAAACAUAUUGAUUAAUUGUACGGAUGGAAAUAAAUCGGGGACAACUCCCAAAGCCGGGUAACAUAGAAUAACCAACUCAAAUGAUCAUGGAAAUGUGUGUGAUAAAACCUUCGACUAAUAAUAAUAAUUAUAAUAAUACGGGAAUUGAUAUAUUCAGAACAAUUUUUGAUAUUAUAUCUGGUCAUGAUUUGAACCUUUUUACUAGGAAAAUAGUAAAAUUUGCUCAGAAUAUAUAAUAAAUAAAUUCUCUGAUAAUACAUCUGGGAAUUCGUACAAUAAUCAUAUGAUGAUGGAGACGGAGAAUAAGGUGGAUUCAUACUUGUGCUGAGAGCGGAAUAAGCAAAUCUUGCAUCGGAAUAACUCCUGCUGUAGGCCAUGAUCGCCGCCUUUGCUCCCCAUCUCAUCCCCAAGCAAAGAGAAUAAGAUCGAGAGAUAAUAUUUGUUUUAGUGUUCUACAAACUUAUACUUGUUGGGGGGUGGGGGGAUAGAGAGUGGGAAUAAGGAAAAGGAUGGAAUAAAAGAAAGAAUAGAGAGGAGGAAAUUGAGAUGGAGAAAAAAAAUAAUAAUAAGGGGAGAUGGGUUAUAUUGGAAAAGGGGGGCUUUUGAGUGGCAGAGUUGUGAAUUCGAGGAAACACGGGGGUGGUUUUGGAACGGGAGGGGUUGCAUGGUCGGAUAACCUGUGGAGGUACGAGGAGCUGGGGCACGAAUUUCAGAUGAAAAUGGAUCCGGGUUUGGUUGAGGUUUCGCUCGGAUUCGUUUAAAAUCGUGAGACUCUUUUCGCUUUUUGAUUCGGUGUGAUUUGUCAAAAAUCUGCUUACAUUCGGAUCCUUUUCGAAUAAAGUAAUAAGUGAGAGUAAAAAAUAUAAUAAACUUUAAUCGGUUUCGAAUCUAAUUCGACCCGUUAAGAAAAUAGCACAUGAGGCGGUAAAUAGAUUACGGGUGAGGGGUAUUUUGGUAAAGAGAGAAAGGCGAGGUGUUGGGAGCCCAUGGGGUGGGCGGUGGGGGGUGGAUUAUAUCAGCUAACCGCCUUAAAUAAUAAAAACGUGUGGUGCGCUCCAAAGGGAACCCUUAAGUGUACCCCGAACUUAGAAUUCCCAAAGAAAGAUAAAAACUUUCUUAAUUGUUAUUCGAUGUUCUAUCAAGAACCAGCUGCGCCUUUGAAAAUUAACUUUCAAACCCUUGAUUUUGUAAAAUAAUACAAUAAUAAUGUAAGCGUUUUAAAAUGUUUAUAGGCGUAAAAAAUUCUAACAAAAUUAAAAAUAAUGGCGAAAAAAUUACAUCACAAUUUCCUUAAUUAAUGUCUCUUUGACUCGUGCUUUAUUUUAUUCUUUUACAUACAAUUAUUAAUAAAAGUAUUUGACAAAAACUUAGGAAAAAUCAUAUUUUUAACUCGGAUAACAAACUUAAAUAUAAUUUUAAAUUCCAAAAAUAAAAAAUUUCAACCUAAUUUAUUCUAAUUCUGCUGGAAAAAUAAUUAGUAAAAAUAUUUAUUCUAUCAUACUUUCUCAUGUGUCGUUCUUUAAACUUUCGAAUCAUAUUUACUAAACAAUGUUAUGCUCAGCAGCUAAGGGGGCGUUUGGAUUGACGAAUCUGUAGAUCUACGUAAGUCAAGUAUAGUAGUGUUUGAGUUUUUCCGAAGUAUGAUUAUUUUUCUGUUGUUUGUUUUGAUAUAACUCGUACAGUCUGAAAGUUAAAUUCAAGUAUUUCUUCUGUUUGUUUUGAUAUAAUUUGGUACUGGUAAAAUUAAUUUUUUGAGUUUCGUUGUUUGUUUUGAUGUAAGUAAGUGGAUUCCGUUAUCUCCUAAAUAUAGUAAUAAAUUUAUCACUAUAAAAUUUAACCUAUUAUAUAAUUAAAUAUUUUAUAUAAUGUAACUUGACUUACAUUAUAUUUGCACUUAUACUAAAAUAAAUAACGAAAAUGAUGGAACUUGAGUUCCAUCACUCCACUUACAUCAAAACAAACGGGCCGCCCUAAACGAAAGAGACCCAAAAAUGAGUCACAUGAGCUAAGGGCACUUACAGGUACAUUUUGAGCUAAGCUUAGCAACAAUUUAAUAUUUUAUAGUCCAAAGAAUUGAUAUAUUCACCCCUUCCUUUGCGAUGAUUGGAUUGGGGAAACCCUGCUGGGGUUUGACUUUGACUGGAAAUAUAAUAGUGGGUUGAUGACGUGGCAUGUUGGGCUAACUUUUUGUACUAUAAUAAUUGGGUGAGCCCUUUUUCGACCAAUUAGGUUCGAGUUGAGACCCAAUUGAGCGAAUCGGAUAAUUUUGACAGCGUUAAGUCGAUCACAUCAGUUUAAUUCGGAUAAAACCCAAUAAGUUUAAAAUUAAAUCUCCAUUUAAUGGUUUUAAUCCCACUUUAAGGGGCCACUAAUUGCAGGCCCUUCAUUAAAUUAAAAACCAGUUAUUUUCAUUAUUGGCUUAAUGUUUUAGCUAGAGAAAAACAACAACAAAAAAAGCCAUUUGAUGUGACUCAUUUGGGUAUAAUUGGUGGGUGAAAUAGUUUCUUCUUUUUUUUUUUGUCUUCUAAUGACUUAGGUUAAGGGAGGUGGUUAAUAUGGUCGUUUAAUUAAGAACGUUUGUGAGUCCAAAAGGAAUAAGAGAUUUAAUUAUUGAAUAUGGUAACUAUUUAUCAGCGGGAUUUGAUCAAAUUCAGUGAAUUAAACUGAUACAUGGACCUUAGCAUGAAAUAUGGUUUCAUCGUCAAGAAUUGAUUUUAUUAUCCAAAAAGAAGGCUAAAUUACAGAAAACACUUGUGUCAAAAUCCGAUUUUUUAAUUUUCCUUUUUGUCAUUUAAAAAUCUAUACUUUGCUCCUUUAUAAAAUAAAAAAUAUUCACAAGGGUACGGUACGAACUGUGAUGACAAAAUAACUAUUUUGUCCCUCACUAUUUUGCCUCUCAACAUGUUUACAAGAUAGAAGACUGAGGAUAUUUUUGGCAUAAAAAAAUAUAUAAUAAUAUUUUAUAAACGGAAUUCUAACGGAUUACUAACGGUAAGGGAUGAAAUAAAUAAUUUUUAUUUUAUAAAGAGGCAAAGUGUAGAUUUUUAAAUGAUAAGAAAAAAAAAAAAAAAUCGAGUUUUCACAGAAAGAUUUUAUAUAUUUUAGCCCAAAAAGAAUGAUUCACUGAAUCUAUUAAGUAUAUAUUAACUAAAUUUGAUUGAAUUUAGUUUAUGUGUAACGAAAUUGCUCCCCUAAUAUUAACUUUAAUGAGAAAAUAACUUUGGCCUAGCUGAAUUUUAAAUUGAAGUUCAUAAACCGAAAACUUUUUUACAAUUAGAAACUCCAGUGAAACUCACAUGGCAUAAUAUUGUCAUCCAAAUUUAAGAGCUUUUCUGAUCAAAUCCGAAUUCAAGUAAAUCGAUUGCACUACUCAGAAUCCACUGCCCUAGUACCAUAUUAAAUAAAAUAAAGUAAUUAAUUUUUAAAAUAAUUAUACUGUCAAAAAUUAAUAAUCUAAAAACAGGAUAUUACAGUUGGCAAAAAACACAAUGAUUUAUAUCUCAGAUUUCAAAAUUGAAGUUUAGCUGUUUUACAUUUAUAAAUGAGUUAAUUCUUUAGAAAAAAUUAAAUGAAAAAGGAUCAACUUCUCUAAAACAAACUUAAAAAAAAAUUUAAAAAAUUAAUUCUUUUUUUUUAAGGAAAACAACAACAACAGGAUAUUGGUACGAUGCCUCAUCACGUUUCACUACGCUAAUUGGCUGGAAACUUCUCGAACGAAUUCGAUGCCGUCCAAAACAAGCAACUCCUCCUCCAACGGGACACACAAGCCAGAGUCUGUUGUGGUUUCUCUUCUCCAGAUUGACCUAGAUCCUUGGUGCCGACAAAAAGAGCUAAAAAAAAAACAAACAAUGUAACAGUUGUAAUAACCAUAUGAAAUUCGUUGUGUUUCAUAAAUUGGGCUCUUCUUCUUAAAUUUUUUUGGAUAUAAAAUGUUAUUGAUACUCAAGAGCUGUUCAAAUUCUUUGUUUACUUACUGUUGUUUUUAGAUUACUGACAAUGUCAAAUCUGUUACGGAUUUUACGAUAACUUAAAUGUAGAAAUGAUGUUAUGGAUACUCAAGGACCGCAAGUCUUGAUAACGCCCUCGAGGAGGCAAAAGAACUCUGGUCUAGAUUGCUCACCUACUGGACACUCAGAAGAGAUCGGAAGCCUUACCUCUACUGACUGCCACUUGGUAGGUUGUUUGGACUGAGAGGAACGACAUUUUUUUCCAAGUGAAGCUUCCCAACCCUACCCGUGCAUUAGAACGCGUCAGACUCCUGAUGUCAACCUGGAUUAAGUGACAUUGCCGAGUGCCACAAACUAUUUUUUCUGCUUCUUUUCUGUCAUUUUCCGGGUUUUUUGUCUAACCUUUUAUUUUUUUGUCCUCUAUUUUUUCGUCUUUUCUUUCUUUUCUUUUCUGUCGGAUGCCUCGGCUGCUUUCAUUUGUAAGCUUAGUUUAUUUUUCUAAUGAAUGAAGCAGGUAGCUUGCUACCUUUUUUUCUCAAAAAAAAAAAAAAANAUUUGUAAGCUAAGUUUAUUUUUCUAAUAAAUGAAGCAGGUAGCUUGCUAUCUUUUUUUCUCAAAAAAAAAAAAAAAAAAAACAACAAAGUUUAUCACUGACCGUUUCUAGAGCGCGUGAUAAAGAUUUGGUGGUUGGUAUUUAAGAUUUUAAGUUCGAAUUCUAAUUAAUUUACAUUUCCGACUAAGUUUAUUUUUUAAAAAAAAUAAAUGAAGCAUGUAACAUAUUAUCUUUCUCUAAAAAAAAAAAAACAACAAAAAUAAAGUUUAUCAUGAUUAUCAAUAAAUAGAUUUAUUAGACUAUUUAGGAGUAAAUUUGAUCGGAUUCAUGAGUAGAUAAAGAUAAUUUAAUUAACAGCACAUCACAUACAAUGCAAUAAUUUUAAAGCUGAGUUCUCUGGGGCACAAAAAAGAAAAGGGGAAAAAAAAAAAACAAAAAAGCACCAAAGAAAUCUUCACAGCAGAGUGUUCGGAUGCCUUCACGUGGCACCGUCAGCUUGAUAUCAUGCAAAUGCCGCAAGGAAGCAUGUUAUGUUAUCCAUAUGAUAUAAACAUAUUCCUAGCGAGCAUAUCGCCUAAACUCUAUCAUCCAAAUCCAAUGUAUAAAAUUUUCAAGAAAAAGAAACCAAAAUGUUUGAAUACAGGGUUUUCCUAAACAAUCCCUGUUGCACGCAACCAUUCCAACAAGGAAUCUCUCUUUGCAACCUUAUUCUUACAAGUUACAAAAAAGUGAAUAAAAAGGUUUUAAAAAGGUGGAAAAAAAACCCCAAGAUUCUUAAAGCUUGAGUGAACUAAUUGAUCAAGUACAGAACGAAAUAUAGCUGAUUUAUUUGAGAUAUACAUAUAUAUAUAUAUAUAUAUAUAUAUAUAUAUAUAUAUAUAUAUAUAUAUAUAUAUAACACUAACAUACUCUCCGAGAAACAAGUUAAACAUUUUUCCCUCCCAAAUAAUUAGUGGACUAGUUCUUUCACUUUUUACAUAAUUAGAUUCGGAGCUUAGAUUGACAACAGAGAUUUUCUACAGUCUCUCUAGUGCAGCUCUUCAAAAUGCUAGGUCUACUGCUAACAAGCAUCUAGUUCCUCCAGAGAAUAUUAUCUUUAAACAUUCGAGAACCUGCCAUGUAUUGAAAAGCAUCUUGUUCCGGUAAAUCUGAGCACACUCCGCAAAGCUGACCAUAGAUCUUCCUUGCGCGCCAACCUUGUCCGUUUCAUAAAAUUAUAUUCUAAGAUACAACUUUUUAAGUACCCCGAAAGGUACGAAUAAUUUUACAGAAGAGGACAUCUGCCACUAAUAUUUACAGCAAAGAAAAAGGCGAGCCGCUCCAUCAAGGACCAAGAUGCCAAAUUGCCGGGUUUAUCAUCAGCAGCGUCGUCAAAUUAUUGCCAAUAUAGGUAAAAAAGUGUCCUCCAGUUGAAAAACAGGUGAAAAGAGUGGAAUCUGUGCCACACCUUACACAUGCUUUUUGAGAACCAGAUGCCCACAGUUGAGGGUGCUGAAUGAGCCACGGAGGUUUGUGGCAUCUUAAUAUCUCUGUUGCUGAUUGAGGCCCCUCCAUCAAGUAAUUUAAACCAAAUAAAUACUCUUUAUUCCGCAAGGCGAUACCCCAAAUUACGGUGCUUCAAACUUCUGCUAUGGUGCAGCAGGACUGCCUCUGAGAAACAACCAUAAAUGUCCUGCAUGGCGCAACAGAUAAGAAAUCCUUAGUCGGCGUAAGUUAAAUAUCUUCAUAAUUCAAAGCUAAGUUAGUUGGAAAGAAACUUACAUGACAUCAGGUUUCAAAUAACGAGACAUGUUCACUCUUUCGCAUAAGCCUCAGCAUAUUCUUUAAUUCUUUCUUUGAUGCUCUGUGAACAACGAUACUUCAUAAGCAUGCGCUUGUUACUUUGAGAAACAAUAUGUAUAAUAAGACUCUGACUAUCAUUUAGGGUCUUUCAAUAUGAUAUCAGGAAUAAAGGGGGAUCAAUCAUAGUUUGAGGAUAAGUUGAAACCACACCUUCAACUCUUCAUGCAGAAGGAUGAAAACUUUCUUCAUCUGCUUAUGUCUCUGCAGCCAGAUAUUAGCAUGCAAACAUAGUAAAAUUCUUUUUGGUGGAAAAAGCAACUUCCAAUGAGAAACAAAUACAUAUAAUAAAGAGAGAGAGAGAGAGAGAGAGAGAGAGAGAGAAUUCUUUACAUAGAAGAUGCGCAAACAACUUAUGCUUAAUGUUUUUCUGUCCUCCUCAUUUCACAACAAGUCUUACCUCCAGGACUACAUUUGUUAAAAAUAAAUAUACAUAUAAAAGUUUAAAUAAUAAGUCACUAAAAUGUGCCAACAAAAUCUCAGACGAAUGACCUAAUGGAUCAGUUCAGGUAUAUGAUUUACGAAGAUAUAUUAAUCUAGUCUGAAAUAUUCAUCAAAAUUAUCUCCCUUCAAUGACCAUUCGGAACUAAUAAGAGGAUCUAACAUAUUCAUGCAGUGACAUAUUCGGCAAACAUAGCAAAAAUAGAGAGAACCGUUUUUUAAGAGAUUAAUUCAUUUAGGUAAGAAAAUCGGGCUUUCAUGUGAUGAUCGAAUAAUACAUCAAAUGGAAACAGAAGAACCUUAUGACACCUUCACACACAGGUAAGAAUAUUUUGUAUAAAAUAUAACAUUAUAGUAAGGAUAGGGCAACAGGGCUACAUAGAAUAGAUAGUUAUAGCUAAUACUAGCAACAAGAAGAAUACACCAAAGUAUAAUAUAAAAACAUUCACAUGAAGGACCACUGUCUCGCAUGUUCAUAACAUGUAUGUAUUAUUGCAUGUAGAGAGACAUCUCGGACAAUCAAAGAGUUUAUUUAGUGAUGUUAAAAUAUGGGAAACAUACCGCUUCAGAUUGGCGAUACAUGUCUCUCAGCUUAUCUACGAUACUAAAAUAUUCAGCCAUAUCUCUUUCUUUAGCAAGCUCAAGCUCACGACCAAUGUUGAGAAAGUCAUUCCUACACAAAAUGGAUUGAUACAUAUGACAGAUUAUUAAACUGUUUUAUGAAUUUAGGAAAGCUUUGGAGAUUUAACAAAAAUGAGACGAAGUGAUAUGUUUGAACCGCCUGCAUAAAAAGGAACUAGCAGGCGAAACGGAAAGGAAAGCAUAUCAAACACACUAUAAAGGGGCUGUUUGGCCGCAGGUUGGGGCCCACUGGCGGGCCACACUGCAUGCCAUUUUAUGAAAGUUCCGCAUGCCGAGCUUUCUCAAAAUACCUUUUUUGCAACUGCAGCCGCAAACGCGGGUGUGACAGUGCAGCCAAACAGCCACAAAACAAGAAAAAUCCAUAGAUGUACCGUGUUUUUUCUAACUGCUUGUUCAAAGAGCAGUAGGCUACGUAUUUCUCAUUGUACUCCUGCACAUAUCCCUUGUAUCUGCAAGAGAAUUAGAGCAAAAUAAGAAACUUUCUGCUUCAAAAGAUAUAAGGUGGAAAUCAUCAUUAUGCGUCAUGUCAACAGAUUAGCAAAAUAUAUAUAUCAAGAAAGAAUGGCUAUAAAAAAAAUUGCAGCAAAUAAAGCAGCUCAUUUAAGCAACUAUCGAGAGGGGAAAAAAACAAGGAAACUAACAAAUAGUUUUGAGUUUUAACAAAGCAAAGGUGUGACUUACUGCAAGAAAUCUUUUAUAGGGCCCUUGAGCUCCGGCUCAUCUUUGUCAUACUUUAAGUAAAAGAAACUAUCUUCAUCAGAAGAACAAUCCAUUCUUUUCCUGCCGUUAACAUCACUCUCCACAGCAAAACUAUUCUUACUUCUUUCCACAGACAUUCCAAGGGCAUUUGACUUCUGCAUUUUGGAUUCCAUUACCUUUUUAUUACCCAUCUGACCAUCAUGCUUAUUAUCAUGUUGCGGAAACCUAGCAACAGGACUUUUCUUGUCAGAACCUGCAUAAUCCAGAUUCACACCCCGGAUUGCUCUUGAGUCAUUUUUAUUAGCUACUUCGGCCAACUUAUCCAAAUGCGUUACACUCUCGAAAGCAGAAUGGUCGAUCCUCGAGAACUGUUGAUUUUGAGAAAGCAUUGCCUUUUUCGGAGGCCUCGUGAUAUCCUUAAGCAAGGGUGAUAGUUCCUUCUGUUCAUUAAGUUCAUUUGGAGCAAUUCUUCCCUUACUUAUAUCAGAACUGGUGAUAUCAACAGCACUCACCUUGUUCUCUAAUGACUUGAAAGAACCUUUUUCCUCGUAUUGUCCCUUAUUCUUGGCAGACGACUCAACAACAAGGGGUUCACGAAACUCACCUAAUUCAAGAUCGGAAAGCUCUCUUUGGAGCAUUCUUCCCUUCCCGUUAGCUGGGGAUUUCUCAAAAUCAAGCUUGUUCUUGCGAGACGGUUGACCAUUAUCUCUGAUAAUUCCACUAAGUUCAGUAGAAUUUCUAUCAUAGGAGUCAGAAAUAAUUAAAUGAUUGUCAGAAUCCCUAGCAUUUUUGGUUAAAUAUUUAUCAUUCGUGUCGGUGUUAACAAUUUUCCCAAAUUUACGCAUUUUUUCAUUUGGUACAGAAGGUUUAUCCUGUGUGCUCCUGUUCUUUGUAGUGAAUGAAUCCAACUCAUCAGAACGAACAGAAACCCCUUCAUGUGUAUUGCCUCUUCCCAAGUUUUCCACAUUAUUGCCAGUUCUCUGCAUUUUAUCUGUAACCUUCUUCCUAGCAUUAAUCUGUUCAAAUCUUUGCGUUGACUGAUCAGCAUUUACACUUGUACGUCCAUCCCACUCAGCAUUAUUUAUCUGCUUCUUCGGCCUAUCCUGCACAGGUCCAUCAGGAGACAAAUAAUGUACAUUGUCCAAAACGGACGCAUCCAUAGUUUUUCCUGGGGGCAUGACUUGUGCUAAGUUUGCAGCCCUUGGCUUUUUAGCAGUUUCUGGCUUCUCCAGAAAGCUCUCAGAACCCAAGGACCUUUUUGAUUUGGAUUUCAAGCUUCUUUCAUUGAUGUUUGAUAGCUCAUGGAUAGGCUUAUCCUUCACUGCUGUAUGUGGAAAGCUCUGUUUCAGAAUUCGGUUGCUUUGAUUAUUCAUUGAGUGUUUAAUACCCAAUGUUUGAUGGUCCUUAGAGUUCACUCCAUGAGACAAGUUUUCAGUAACUGAAGUUGCAUGAAUUGCGUCAUCAUCCUUUUCAAAUUCAUUCAAAUUAAAGAGUGGUGAUGCAACUCUUUUCUCUUGGUUCGUUCCAAGAAUACUUUUCUCAUUCUGAUCUUCAGUUGCUUUCCAUUCUCCAGGCGAGGGAGACAAGUUUAAGUCAGCUUCCUUUGUUUUGUGCUCCACUUCUUUCUCAUCAUCGGUAAUAUCAACUACCACAUCAGAACCCUCUUUGCUGCUAGAGGAACCAUCACUUUCACUGUCACUGCUGCUCGCACUAGCACUUCCUGCAGGGCUUCUGCUUUUGCUUCUACUUCGGCUACUGUCACUCCCACUGCCACUGCUAUCGCUUUCACUGUCGCUGUCACUUCCGCUUUCACUAGAACUGUAAGCUCUUUCAUCGCUGUCAUUGUUGACCUUCUGAUCACCAACAACAGUUUCUGGGGAUCCCACUAUGUCAAUCUUCUCAAAAGGGGAUGAUUCUUCUUCUACGUUCAAGUCUGAAUGGGCUUUCUCAUCGAUUUUCUCAAUGACGUCUUUGUCUACAGUGAUUGAUUCUGCAACUAAUGUAUGAAGAGGUGCGUUCUCUGGAGAGCUGCGAAGAUUAAUGUACAUUUAUCUAAGUAUCGAUGAUCAAAUAGUCAUGCCUAUCUUCUCGAUAAAAUGAUAUAAAGUUAAUGACCUUAGAAAGGUAAGAGAGGUACAAUCUUAUCAAAGGCCAACUGAAAUUGAAAACCAUAUAAUAAUGUUGUAGAAUAUAGUACACCCCAUAUUGCAGAAUUAUAUUACUUUACUGCAACACACCUAUGUGCAUCUAUCUAAGUAUCACAUUAUAUGAACCAGCGAAUUAACUACAAUACUAAUAUCAGAACACACUGGACCUAACGAUUACAAUCCUGUAUAACAUACGAAGAACAAGCAAAUUAUCUAAAACGCUAACAUCAGUACUGGGAUUAAUCCUCUUGAUGUAAUGAAAUAUCAAAGAAGAAGAAGAAGAAGAAGAAGAAAAGACAUAUCCAAUUCAAGUCUACCGUUGAUCUACUAUCUACUUAGCAACAUGGUUACACAGGUGAAAAGAAAUGGCUAAAAUGGAAGGUAGUUAUAGAAUUUUCGCUUUCACAUAUAGUGGCAGGAGGCACUUUGAUCUAGAAAUUUGAGCAUGGAUAUAGUUACUACAAGGAAAAAAGUGACAUAUCUGAAAGACAACUAUCGACAAGGCUCAGAGGAACUCUCAACAGAACGAAAGCAACAAUACUUAAUUACUAAGAUUAAAUAUCUAAGCAACAAGUCAAAUAAAAUGGGAUGGCACAAGAAAAGAAAAAAAAAAUCAAUGCUAUUACCUUCCACUGUCAGAUAUAUGCCUUUUAGAGCUUUCAACUUCUACUCCCGGCUUCAGAAAAUACUUUCCUGCCACUUGGAGAGAUGCAAUCUGGUUUGAAUAAGACAGAAAAAGUCUGCUUUCAAGAUUUGACCUUGAUUUUUUCGACAUUUGCAUACUAAGAAGUUUAUAUAUUACUUACAUUUUUUAGGAGACUCUCAAUUUUUUUUGCAGAGCUUGGAAUAGAUUCUCCCACAGCUUUUUCCAAAGCCUAGAAAAAUAUUUAGACAUGGAGUUAAAAGAGCAACCAAAAUAUCAGAGUAAUUAGCUUUUGGCAGCAGAGAUAAAUAAUGCACAACCAUAAUAUCAGAUUAACUAGCUUUUGGCAGCAGAGAUAAAUAAUGCGCAACCGUAAUAUCAGAUUAACUAGCUUUUGGCGGCAGAGAUAAAUAAUGCAAAAACUGUGUCAUAGAAUUCUUAUCAUGAAGACUCCAUUUGAAUUCUUCAUGACAGAUUGAAGUUGUCUGAAAUUAAUUCCCGCAGCUCACAUAGUAGACUUUGAAGGUAACUUGCCAAGACCAAAGCAGAAAAGGAAAGCUCCUCACGAUGUUAAACUUAUAACAUAGGCAAGUAGCAUAAGUAGUUUUGGCCAUGCAAUGUUGAUCAUAUUGGCUAUUUGGCUCUGCUCAGCAGCAUCUUGAUAGUUUAUAGUAACUUAAACUUUUUAUUUGUACGUGCAAGGGAUUACUAGCCUUGCCACAAAAAGAAAAAAGUGAGAAUAUUUAUAGAGCAACUAACCAACAUGGUUUGUCGAAAACAAAGCAUACCUUUAAGCUCAUCCCUUUUGGAUUUUCUGAGAGUCGAGUUAUCAACAAGUUUUGCAAAUCUGUUGGUUUGUCACCAAUGCCUUCAGAAUGUCCACUUAUUCGAUUUUUCACUCCAAUUGCAGCCCUGCUAGGUGUUUCUUUCUCAAAGUUGCUAGUUUCCUCUUUAUUUACAUUUGCAGGGGUAAUUUCUUCAUAAUUUAAAUUUCCACGAAAAGCAGUUGAAAUUCCAGCAGGGGAUGCAGAAACGGCCAAUCGAGAUUGCUCAGGAGGUGAGGGAACAGGCGAUACUAACGGAACUCCUUUCACAACAUUGUUCGACAAUAAUCCAGUUUUCGUAAUAGAUUUAGGAGGAGCAACAGUGGGAGCUGAAGCAAAGCAAAAGAAAAUGUUAGACAAGAUUGUAAUUCACUGUUCUGUAAUAUGGGGAGGAAGAAUGAAAAGCCUACUUAACUAAGUUUUUUUUUUUAUAAAAAAAAAAAUCUGUAACAGGCGGCCUUCAUACCUCUCAUAUACACAAAAUGACAUUUGAGAAUAACAUACAUGAAGCUUAUUACAAUUAAAUUUCACAAGCAAAGGACAAAGCUAUAACCUUGACUUGAUUCAACCUUUCGCUUCUUAAAAAAGGGUUCCUUUUUCUUCCAUCCCAUCCUCCGCAUAUUUCCUGAAAGGAAUCAUCAAAUGUGAUUAAAACAAAUAAAAUCUCGAAGAGAGGUGGGGAGGGAGAAAGGAAGCACUGCAAACAUGUAUGAGAUAUUAAUGCAGUGGAAACUAGCCACAACUACUGCUCUUGAUCAUUUGCAGUUACAUGAUAGGCAGAAUAUGAACUUACAAAAAGGCAGUUCUUCGUUGUAAUAAUACCAAUUUCAGUAUUAGUUAAGCAAUGUAAAGCUCUCGUAAAACCUCAACACCACCAGUUUACUUGUUCCAACAUGGUUCUUAUGUGAAAAAGUUGAUAAAACGUAAAUUAUAGAAACAAAUUUUGAAGUACUCGCCUUCAACUGCGGCUGCAGCCAUUGAUUUCGCCUGACUUUUCACAGAAGGAUUUGCAGGGUCUAAUACAAUUGCUCUGUUAUACAUAAGGGAAGUCCGGUCAACAUAUCAUAGUAGAAAACAAAAAGCAUGCCAUGAACAGCCAAAUGGAAAGCACAUCUACAUAGUAUCCCCUUAAAUUCUAAACUGUGAUGCAUGGCGAGUGAACUGUAAGGCAUGAAAUAAUAGUAUAUAUUGCUAAAAAAAAUGGUAAAAGGGAGUGGUAGGGCACAACAGAUUAAUCAUAUGUCGUACUUUCGAGAUUUAGAUUGGCGUUCAGCCUCCUCGGAGCGCAUUUUGACAUGGUUCUUUGUUGACUCAUCUAGAAUUCGCUGUACAUUCAGCUUUCUCCAAGCAGAGCCACACUCAACAAGCAAUCCAUCUCCAUCUUCUCCACUACGACGUUCCUCAUAAAUAUCACAUAAGUCACCGAGUUCCUUUGACCAUGUAAAUUUGAAUUCCUUGCCACCCACAUUUAUGACCUGAUACAGAUAAACAGAAUGUAUAUAAGAGAAUAACGCAUGGAUAGGAAAUUUUGUCUUUCUAGGAGAAGAUAUACAAAUUUAAAAAUAUAUUUCACAUAGUAAUCUGCAAAUACCAGAUAGAGCAUGUCAUAAUGCAUAGCCUUAUUCGAAAAUAUGAGUUUGGCUACAUAUUCAACCAAACUACCGAUACAAAUCAUAGUGACAGGCCCCGUUUGUCAAAUUAUUGGAAGUAAUUUUCAUCUUUAGUACCUGGUAACGCACAUGAACUACCAUAAAAACGAAGUAUCCUACUAAUAUAAACAGAUACACCUGUAAAUAGGAAUUAAUGAACUGUGAAGAAAUUAGUCAAAAUUUGCUAACAGCAAGUCCAAUUUUGAAUGGAACUAUAGAGCGUCAAAAAAGUUGCUAAGAGAUAAGUUCUCUCUAAAGAAUGACUUCAAUGCAUUCACACUACGGGCCAUCCAUAAGAAGUUAUGAUAUUUGCCAAUACUAACUCAAUUCCCCUUCCAACAAAGUAGCAUCCCCAAAGUUCAAUCUAAAUCAGAGCAAUGCAAUACGAAUCAACAGCUCAAGCAAUUCCAUACGAAGAAAAUAGGUUUGAAGCAAACAAAAGAUCAAAUUGGCAUACGUUCUCCGAAGGAUUGAUCAAGUUGGAGUCGAACUUGAUCCUGGCGACGCCGCCCUGGGCCUCGGCGCGCCUGAUCUCCUCGAUUAGGUCGGGGGUGAGGCGUAUGAUCGCCCCGAACUCGAGGGGGUCCCCCCGCGCGAGGCCGAAGGUCUCGUCCCGGGAGGCCGCGCCGCCUCCGCCCCGUCCGAGCUUGUACAUCGCGGGCGCCCGAGGAGACGCGCGGUGGCGGAAAGGGAGCGCGAGAGAGGAAGCGAGGGUUUUAAUUUCGCCUUCGGGUAAAUAAUAAUAAUAAUAAUAAAAUUAUUCAAGAAGAAGCAAAACCGAGGGAGCUUUCUCGGCAAGGAUUUUGGUUCCGGUUCGGACUAAUUUUUUUUUUUUUAUUUAUUCUGAUGGAACGUGAAUACAUAUUAUUAUUAUUACUAUUAUUAUUAUUAUUAUUAUUAUUAUUAUUAUUAUUAUUAUUAUGANAUUAUUAUUAUUAUUGUUAUUAUUAUUAUUAUUAUGAAGUUUAAGUUGGGAAAUGACAUUUAAGAGCCUUUGGGCUUAAUUUUGGGCCGGCCCAUUUAGACGGACAAAUAUUACAGUGGGCUGUGUAUGUGGUCCAAAUUCGAUAAUGGUAAGUGGAUCUCAACUUGUUGGAUUAUGGCCCAAAUGUAGUCGUACGCUAUAUAAAAAUAACGGCAAAAACAUUUAAUAUUUAAUUAUUAUUAUAUUAUAUUCUAUUAAUAAGGAACCCUGCAUCCUUCUAAAAAUUGUAUUGUUUGUAAUAUCUUCAAUACACUUCCAUUCUCGACUGUCAAUGAAAUAAAUUAGAGAAGCAGUACCUUUUUUAUAUUUUUUGGGCCCCCGGAACGAAGAAACCAUAGUCCAUAAUAUGAGAGACGAUUAAGGAAUAAAUGUAUUCACAGAAGCAGGGACGAAGCUAAAAAUUAAGAUUCUGGAGGGCCAAUAUUUAAGUUUGGCAGAAAAAAAAUUGGAUCUCAAACAGUAAAAAAAAGAGUUUAUCAGAUUUACUGGCUAUUUAUUGCUAGCAACAACAGCAAUAAUAUGCUCAAGGAAGAGCAAGACUAUAAAAACGGAAGAAAAAGGAUCGAGGAAUUCGAAAAAAUAUUGGGACAUAAAUUUUAUAAAAAGAAAAAAAUCAAUUUGACUGCCCUAAAACUAAAAUUUAUAACAUUUUAAUUUUUACUAUAAAAAAAUUUAUAUAUAACUUUUAAAAGUUAAGAAGGGUAAUGGCCACUAUAGGAGUACACAUUGAUUAUAAGAUGUUGUGCGUUAAGAUACUUAGGUUUGAACAUACAGAAUUCAAAAUUACCCCUGUACCAAAACUAUAUUAACCCAAAGUCUCUUUUUCAUGGGAUUUGGGUUGGUAUCUUUCUUUUCUUUUCUUUUCUUUUCUUUUCUUUUUAAAUCCCCAUGAUGAAAAAGUCAUAAACUCUUUAAGACCGUCCACAUUCAACAAGGUUGGGUUGUGCAAAAGCCUACCCAUGCAAGAGUCACUUUAGAACUCUAGAAAAUAUUGCGUCACAUGCAAUAAAAAAUAAGAAAAAUAAUUUACAUACUUUUGUCCAAUUCAUUUUUGCCUAUAAGAGGCUUAGUGGACCAUCAAUUCCAAACAGGCACUAAUGACAUAGGCAAAUUGCUGAAGCUUCUAUUGAAUUAGCAUUUUUUUUAAUUAUUGCUACUUUGGGGGAAAUUGAUCUAUAACACAACAAUGACAACAUUUGCAACAAACCACUAUUAAAUAAUAAUUUUUUAGCCCAAAGAAAAGCGCUUAAUGACAACAUAUGGCGACAUUUUGCCAAACCUAAAAGUGCUUACACUAAUAAAGCUUGUCUCAUUAAUAAUGGCCUUUUUCAAAGGCACUAUGAAUCUCUUAUUAGGAUAUUAUAUAUUAAUGAAGUAUAGUAGUGGACACCAAAUUAAUCCCCUGUAAAUCCCCUCGGAAUUGCCAAAUAUGGAAGUAUAUCUGAUUCAUUUAUACAAUUUAUUGCGAAAACCGUAGAGUCAAUUUAUACAGAUUAUUAAAGAAGUUUUACAGGUACUUUAUAUUGAACGGAAAGUAAGAUCGCAGUAGGACAAGGAAAUCUUAAUUUUAGACCACUAAAUAGUCAAUCCACUCUUUCUUCCCUUCUUGUUUUUUAAGAUUAUGUUUAAUUAAAUUAAAGAUAUUCAACAAUUUAAUAACUUCAUUGGCCUUUAAUUAUUAUGUGUUGCAAUUUUAUCUGGUAAAAAAUAAUUAAAUCCAUUCAAAAUAAUUAACAAAUUUAAUAAAAAAUUUUAAUUUAGUUGCCCGAAAUCGUGCAAAUUAGAGAUUUAAAAGACAAAGAAGUGUCAAUAAAAGAUAACAAAUAAAACAAGGCUCAAAUAUUGCUGCUUUAAAAUGGCCUAUCCAUUAUAUAGAGAAAUAAUCACACACAAAAUCACUAUCACUUACAAAAGAAGUUAUACAAUCGCUGCUUUCCACUCGUCCCCACGUGCCAACACAUGCAUCCAAACACCCACCUCUAUGAGAGAGGGACAUAUCAUAUCCAUGACCCCAUGCAAAGGCAAAUAAUAGAGGUAUAUUAGAGUGUGAACUAACACUCUUACGUAACACUGCUAAAUUUUUUUCUUUUUUACCUUCGAUAACCAGAAAGGAAUAACAACACAUCCACGCACCCACUCCGAUAUCAUAUGAAAAAGAAAUAAAGGAAGAUCCUCAGAUAAGCCCCCAUCGAAAUCAUGAAAAAGGAAUACGUAGUAGUAGUGAGAUCUCUCCCCCCUCAAGUAAAGCUACUUAAAAAGCUACUUACCCCAUCAUAUUAUACAUAUACAGUGCAUAAAAGAGAGCCAUCACUCUCCCCUCCUUUGGACCUCAGACGCGCCUAGCGUGCGCGCCUUCGCACGAGUCCAUUUCGCUUUGGGUCAAAAGUCACUGCCCCUCUCUUUCUUUCUCUCUCUCUCUCUACUUUGCAUCAACAAAGGAGGAGAGUGAACUAUCUCUUGUGAUACAAGCUCCUAUAUCUUUCUCCUUUAUUGGGUCAUCAUAAACCCCCGCUUUCUCUUCCAACCGCCACGAAUAAAGAUGAAAUUUUUUAAAAGUUACUACUAAUACGUUUGUAUACUGAUGUAUCACGCACAGAUUAACUUAUCCAGUACUGACGAUGGCGUGUCCGCCGACCUCCACAAUCCACCAAAGACAUAUGCCCACACAAGAGUAGUUGAUUCCCAAAUUCAAUCAUUGGAGACGCGUGGAGCAAUCCCAUUGGCUCUUCGCUUUUCUCUAGGCCCCGGCUCAUUGUACUGGGCCAAAAAAGGGCCCUUCCCACUUGCGCGCACACAGGCACACUGUUAACCACUGCUACUAUUGCUAAAUCCCACUCCUAAAGCCUUGUACACUUGCCACUUAUUCUACAUUUUAAUAAUAAUCAGUAGAGCUUAUAAUAAUAUUAGGGUAAGGAGUAGUGGUGAAUGGUGAUAGUGGAGGCUACAGUGCGCUUGUAGAAGCAGAAGCAGCUCCGAAAGCCAUAGUUUUCAGCUUGAGAGAUUUUAAAUAGCUUAUGGCUUCGUCGAGAAUGGUGGCUGCGUCUUUACCCUUACCGCCCGGUAUGAUCCUUCGCAAUAACCCUACAGUCUCCCGUAUCCUCUCCCUCUUAAUUCGCUUAUUCGGGUAGUAACUGGGUUCAUUAGAUAUCUCUUUUUCUUCUUCUUCUUCUUCUUUCUCCCUCUUAUCACCUGCUUCUUCUCUCUUGUUGCCUGCUCCCACACAACUUGACUCUACAUCACCGUCAUCCUUGCUGUAGAAAACUCUCGCAGAGCUCGCAGUGUCGACAAGUGAUGCGUCGAGCUCCGAAUCAAGCCUUCGUUUCUUUGUCGGUAGAGUUUUUGAGCUUGCGACCUCCUCUAUGCUCCUUUCCUUGGAUAUGAUAACGGGGAAGUGCCCCGUGCUAGCUUCUUCUUCUUCUUCUUUUGCUUCCUCUUCGUCAACAUAGUCUUCAGAAUCCGAAUAGAGGAGCGCAUCAAUCUCCUCCGUGUCCUCGUGCAUCUCCUCAACACCAUUUCCGUCGGUAACAUUCGUUUCAUUACUCCCCUGCAAAUCCAUGUAUAAUGGGUUCGCCGCGCCCUGCGAAGUAAUCAAAGGUGCAGCCACAGAAGUAUAGAUCAGGCUUGUUUGAUUCCUGGACUGAUCAAAAGCCGUAAACUUCCUCUGAGAAGAGGUGAUUUCUUGGAGCCCAAAUGCCGCAAUCAUCGGAUUGUGAUACAGGGGAAAGGGUACAGCUCCAUUAACGGAGAAAGUGGCGGCCCCAGAAGGGUCAACAUACGCCGGAAAACCCAUAGAAUUGGUGUUCUCUUGUGCGAUAGUGGGCGGGCCGAGAUUAUUACCGCAGUUCAAAGUACCGAAUCCCCAUGGAGAAGAAUGGGGUACUUGGUGCCAAGGGUCGUGAUCCUUGCCCAUACACACGUUUCAAAUCGAAACCGCCAAAACAAUUUACCUGUAAAGCAAAAACCUAAAUGACAAACUCCCCCUAAAACACACAAAAGGAUUUUAAACAAGUAAAGAAAUGCAACCAUACCAGAUGAAAUUGACCACAGAACAAAUGUUCUUCCACAAGAAUUUCUCCAACAAACUGUAAAAAUUCCACCUUUAUUCGAUUGAGCGGCAGAGAGAAGCUAAUCUACGUGACGGGCUUCAGGAGGUGGCGGAAGUACUCGGCCUGUAGAGAUCAUAAGAGAUUAGAUGCUUCCAAAUUAGCUAAAAAUUCUAGAUUUUGAUAGAAGCUUCACUAUUGUUUCAUUAGUGUUACCUGGCAAUCCUGCAAAGGUUGGAAACAAGCGAUGAUCCUGACGAUUAUGGUGGCGCUACCGGCGAUCCCAUUCUCGUGUUUCAACGCUCGGAAUCUCGUCUGCGUUGCUGCUUGGCACACCAUUACUACUCUAGCCCUCUAUAGAUCGAAACCACUCCACAGAGUACCAAAAAAAGGGAUCUUUGAAGAAGAGGAGGUCAGGUGAAAUGCUUAUGAGAGAUGCGAGGAUCACCAAACCUAAAAAUUCCUCUUUUUUUCCUUUUAUUACCUCAAAUAGAAGGAAUCUAAAGGGAAAAGUGUGUCGUUACCAGAGAUUUAGAGGAAGAAGAAGAAGAAGAAGAAGAAGAAGAGAGAGAGUGAGCAGUGAAAAAGGCACAAAAGUGGGGGAGGAGAAAAAGUAGAGUUAUAGAAUAACCCUACAAUACAAAUUCAAGGAGAUCCCUUUUCGAAGUACAUCAACGGAGAGGCUCAACCACCGCAUAGUGUUGCGAAUCUGUAACCACAAAAGCUUCAAUUCCCCACCUCCAGUGAACUGUAACAGCGAAAUCAAGGUAAAAAAACCCUAAUUUUCUCCACAAAAGAAGCAAAUCGAACCAAAAAAAAAUUCUAAAAGUCGCAAAAAAGAGCCUUUUUGGAAUCAAAUCUGCCUAAGAAGACGCUCACGAUGUUUUUGAUGGAAAUUAACACGAAAUCACCAAAAAAAAAAAAUUCAGGGAAAAGACCACCAAAGUACCACAAAAAUCAGUUUUUCAGCACAAAAAUUCCAUCCAGCAUCAAGAAAACCGAUUCCGGAAGUAAAAAUCCGAAAUAUUCGAGGAUCAAUCAAAUAAACACAAGAAAAAACCGGAAAAAAGGGCGAAAUUUCGCGGGAGAAACCUGAGAUCUCUUCGCCCUACGCCAAUCGAAAGAGCCCAAAAAGCGACGUCCACGCGCGGAUCGGGAUCGAGCUCGAAACUUGCGAGAGAGAGAGAGAGAGAGAGAGAGAGAGAGAGAGGAAAGGUCGUGGAAAUGGGGAAUGGAGAACGAAACCACAAACGCUUUGGACUCGGAACAAACGCUUUGGACUCGGAUAAAAGAGUUCACGAGAGAAUGGAGGAGGCGAAGAAGGGGAUGAGUUUUAUCGGCCUUUUGUGACGAAAAUGCCCUCGAUGGAUGCCGCGUAUUUACCAUGAAGUGUAGUGGGAGUGUGUUGUCAUAAUGGGGAAACUGCGUGGGCUUGGAGGUAAAAUGAGUCAAAAAUAAUAACGUAAGGUCAAAAUACCUGUCGACUGUAGAUGAUGUUGGGUUCGAACCAUGGGUUAGACUUUUCUUUUUUCUUCUUUUUUACUUUUUAAUUUUCUCUCACUAAUUAUAAUACUAUAGUAUUUUUUUAAAAAAAAAUUAUGGGGAUUAAGGCCCAGGAUUCAUGCGUUUAUUUUGUUUAUUGGACAUUGAGGAUAAUAAAAAGAAUUAGUCCAUAAAUUUUUAGUUCUAAUAAUAAUUCCAUUUGAGUUUCAAUUAUAGUAAUUUUACUGUAGAUGUUUCAUUUCUAGAGUUUUGUUUCUAAAGUUUGACGGUGCUAAUCCAGAUGGAAGUUUAGGGACAACAUUUGUGAUUAAUUCCAACUCAUGAAAAUUAUGAUUGCUUCUUUUUUUUCUUUUUUACUUGACUCAUCAAGCUUUGUCUCAAAAGUGUUAUGUAAUUUUACCUUUACUAUCUAUCAUUUCAAUCCCCAGAAAAAAAAAAAAAGAAAAGAAAAGAAAAGAAAGAGGCUUAGUUUAAGAAGUCCCAACAAGAAAUGAAAAAAAAUAAAUAAAUUAAACAAUUCCAUUUUGUCCACUUAGUUGAACAUGAUUAGAUGGCUAAAAUCACAAUGAGAAAGCUUUUGUGUGGGUGUGAGCUCCAUUUCACUGAUUCCAUGCUUUAAAAUCCCAUCCCCUUGAAAUUGCACAUCACUUUCUCAUAGUGGCUUCUGACUUGAGAGGCUCCCAGCAAUCUCACCCCUCCUCCCUCACCCUGCAGUCAGCACUCCUCUUUUCUUCCUCCUGUCUUCUUCUGCCUGUAGCUGGAUGCCCUCCUUAGCCAGCUUACAGACUUCAGAGAGAGAGAGAGAGAGAGAGAGAGAGAGAGAGAGAGCAUUCAUGUGAACCCCUCAACCACCUGAUGCCCGAACUUGUUACCACACAUGCCUUAAUUACCAUAUCAUGCAUAACUAGUACGCGUUUGGUUCGCACUAUAAAAGAUUACUAAAAAUAAAAAGAUGUCUGAGAAUCUUAUUCUAAUUAAUUCUAUUACUAAGAAUAUAGCAUUCCUGUGUUCGGUUCGCACAGUUAUAUUAUUUAGUCAUAUUAUUUAAGAUUACAAAAAAUAUACAAUUUAUUUAUUUAUUUAUUUAUUUAAUUUUAGAUAAUGUUAUCAAAAAUUUCAACAUCUUUUUAGAAAACAGGAAGAGAGAAUAUAGGUUAGAGAGAGAGAGCAUAAUUAAAGAAUUAGGAAGAGAAAUAGAAUUGAGAUUAGAGGGAGUGAGAGAGUUGAGAUUUUAGAGAACGAGAGGGAGAGAGAGCUUAGUUUAGAGAGAGAAAAACAGUUGAAGUUUAGAGAAAGAUAUGAGGUUAGAGCGUAAAGGAAAAUAAUACUAACUAGCUGGCGGGUAGGGAGAAAGAAAAAGAUUAGACAUAUUAUGAUUACUCCAAUCCAUUAAUAUGAGGAUACCCACCCUCCUUCAAGAAAAUGAGAUUAGUACUUUGGGAUGAAUCUCAUUCCCAAGUAAAUCUAAUAUUACCAACUAGAUUACUUAGUACGUUUAGCCAAAUAUCCUUAUAUUUUUUUAUUCCUAUUGGAUUAUUAGGAAUCUUAAAAAGAUAGCACGAACCAAACGCACCCGUAAAGUUAUCCGCGCAUUGCUGCGAACUUAUACUAUAGAAGACAUAAGAUUAACAAAAUAAAAAUUUUAAAUUUUUUUGAAUUGCCAUAAGACAUUAAUAAAUAAAGAUAAUAUAUAUUAACAUAUAUACAAAUAGAAGAGAUGAAACAGGUAUACGUACAAAUGUAACAAAACUCAUAAUUUUAGUAAAUAAAUUAUAAAAAAUAAUAAUGAAAGAAACAACAAUAAAAUUAUUACUCCAUACGCAUGCAUCUUGAUCGCACUGCCGACAUCGGGAAGACGAAUCCCUAUCUCCACAUCACCUUUGCCGUCAUUGUCGACGUUGACCACCUUUUUCGUCACAGCAUCCCCUACGGAUCUCUCCAAACCUAUCAUUUCUUUUCCAUCAUUGACUCCAAAUCUAUUUCUACUUUCCCCUGCGAUGCCGCGUCGCAAUCUGCGGAACCCUAGUUUUAGUCCACAUACAAUUUAAAAACAUAAAGAGAAAAAAAUAAAAAAAUUAUAAACUAUGAAUAUUUCUUAUGCGGCAAAAAAAAAGAAAAAAAAAGAACGAAGAAAUCUUAUUUUAUUUACUUUUUUUUCUGAAAGCAAUUUGUUUAUAUAAAAUUGGAUUAUGUGACCACAUUAAUUGGGAGGUAAGCGAAUGGGAAGACGAAGCAUCGUGUAAAAAUAAGGUGAGAGGAUGAAGAAUCAUGUAGAAAUAGGGUGAGAAGACAAAGCAUCAAAAAGUGAGAAGAGGGGAGGAGAUAAAGAUGAAGGAGGAAUUGCCACGUGGCAACUUCGUGGGAAAUAAUGUAUAGAAGAUAUAGAUAGAUAUAGAUAUAGAUGGCAACUUCAUGGGAAAUAAUGUAUAGGUAUAAAUUUGUUAAUAUUAUAUAGCCUUUUGUGUGUAGAUAAUUAGAGAAAAAAUAAAAAACGGCAACAAGGGUAGAGAAAACAACGAUGUAAGAAACGACGAUAAGAGAUGGGAUUCAUCUUACCGAUGAAGGAAAGUAACAGCCAAUGUAAGAAAAAGAGGAACAGUUCGGCGCAAUGCAAAGAUAUGAUUCGGUUUAGUUCAAAUAUAUAUAUAUA
rnacentral:lncRNA from 1 species